rnacentral:lncRNA from 1 species
GGGUUGUCGUGUAUGAGGGUGGUUGGCAUCGCGAAGCUGCGUGUGCAAAUCUUAAGUAUGCCGACAGUGAAGGCGGCUGAUGUGUAGUUUAUAUGUGUGGCGAAAGGGUGAACUGUAUUGUGACGAGGUUGGAGGAGAGAAUCUUUUGGUCUAUUUCACUGAAGCCUAACACAUGAACGGAGGUGUGGAGGAAUAGCACCCCCAAGACAACCCUGAAACUAACAACAUGUAGCAGUAACACAAGGAUUCAUUGAAUGGUUCCAAUAAAUCUGAACCAUAACCUACAUGAGUGCAAUCUAAUUAGUCGAACAGUAUGGAAAGGACCCACGCAAUCAACACCUGAAGAGAAUCUGCAACAGAGCUGGUGAGAUAUGUGCACGGCUGCAAUUUAGGCCGGAUGGAGAAAUGGUGCUGUGAUGAUACCGAAGUGUUUCGGACUAGAGUUUCUGAUCUGGGGUAGUAGCCAGCUCUGAAGAAAACACUCUUGGCUGUCGGAACAUAUGGAUAGUUGUGUAUGAGCGAUGCGUCUCAAAGUGGUGCUGGCGGGAAAGUGUAAUGCAGUCUUCUCAUAACUCACUCUAGAGCAAGUUUUCUUGAUUGUGACCUGAAGACCUGAUCUCUGCACGUAAAGGGACUCAUUUGCGACGUUGUCCUACAAAAGAUUCAAAAACACGCACUAAGCUUGGAAGUGACUUUAAUAAACAGAAAACGAACGAGAGUAUUUCACUGCACCUGAAGUGUCAUAAAACGACUUCUCAGCAUUCACCCCGUAAAGUUUUGCAGGGAAUCCAGAUGAGAAAUAAGUUAGUCACACCCGAAUGUAGAUGGCCUUGUCCGUGUUAGGAUUUCUGCCUACAUCCUAAUUUACACGUUGUGCAUGAUGUAGGCCAGAAGGUGGUGUGUGACAUAAUACCUCAGAUUGACUGCAAAGGUCUUCUAUUUUGCAUUCAUCCAACUAUUUGACAUAGCCCAAGAAUCAUCACUUUCUCUCGUCUGAAUUGUGUGACUUUUGCAUCUUUGCCAAUAUUUUCGAAUUUAGAAGCUUGUAAGAGGGAAGGGGUUCCUAGACACAUAUUCUAAUUGAAUCGCAUUUCGCUGUUAUUUUUAACCUAAGAAAUUUAUCUAUCAAUUUAAACUUGUUGCCAUACUUCUCUACUAUUUUUAACUCAAAAACUUUAUCUAACAAUAUAAACUUCAUGCCAUAUUUCACUACCUUUCUUUUCUAGUGUAAAACAUUUACUAAGUAACACUUUGCGACGCAUCGCUCGUACACAACGAUCUAUAUGCUCACACAGCCAGCAACACUUAGUUUGAUGGAUAUCUGGCUUCGCCUUAAUUUGAAAGAAAGUUCUACAUCAACUUCAUUCUAAAAAUAAAGACUUUUUCGUCGUCUUCAGCACUUGUUAUAACCUGAGUAAUGAUGACAUUUGGAAUAAAGGCAUCUACAAUAAGCUGUAUUCUAUUGCAUAUUGUGCUUGCUAUAUUGUUAUUAAAGCUCCAAAAGUCACUUUUAGUAAAUGAGAUAGAAAUCUAUUUACAAAAAGAAUAUUUAAGAAACUCAACUAUGUAGAUUGCUUGAUUGUUAUUAUCAUUAUUGCAAAUUGAAUUUGCAGAAAGAAAUUCUACCUCUUUAUGAGAAAUGUUUUGCAAGAUUCAAAGAUUAUGCAUAUUGAUGGAUGAAUUUGUAGUGGAUUAAAUUAAGGAAUUUGUAGUAUAUUUGUGAUCAUUGGCAUGAUCAAUAAUAUUGCUAUAGAUUUUUUUCAAUUAACUCACGAAUGGUUUUGCAAGUAGCAAUUUCUUGAGGAAUGUAGAUUAUAUUUUCAUGUAUAUUUAAGUGAAUAACCUCUUUUCUUUUGCCAAUGCAAAGCAAAUAUUAUAUAAAAGAUCUUUUUCUUUUCUUUCUACUCCCUUAGCUUGGCACUAUUUCAUAUUAAUUGUAGUAUGUAUUUUUUUUUGUAUAGAUGGCCAUAAUUAAGAGAACUUUACGCUUAAAUUAAGAGUUUGUAUUCUCAUUCAAUGACAAAGAACUAACAAAAUUUGUUAGAAGUCCCUGCUCUAAACAAUAAGAUUUUUACUAAAUGAUUGAUCAACAUUAGAUAUAUCUUCUAGCAACUUGUCUUCAACUUUAAAGGUCACCCUAUUGGUCAUUGGAGUAUCACUCUAUAUGAAUAUCUUAGUAGUUUUAAUCAAUUUUUGUAGUUUUGAUGCUUUUGUGAUGCUGUAAUUUAUGCAGUCAUUGACAUUAAACAAGAUCUUAAAAGUGGAUUGAAAUGAUUUUCAACUUGAGAGUAACAGUGCUACAAUGCCAAAAGAAAGAACAACUAAAGUAAUUUCCUCAUUUUUGCUAUAAUAGGCUAAUAAAAGUUUGUAGAUGAAGGUUUUUCUUAUAUUGCCUCAACUAUUAAUGAAAAAACAUCUUUUAUUAUAAUUGGUAUCAAUUUCAGUAGCAAUAACUAUAUUAUACACAACUUUUUGAUUAUCAUUUAGUAAUAGAAUUGCAUAAAGAAUAAUAUUCAUUUCAACAAGAUCAUAUAAUAUAUGAUUUGUAAAAAAAUAGCUAUCUUUAGUAAAUAUUUAGUGAUUGGUAAUCUUUUCAUUUAAAUGAGAUAGACAUAAACGCCUAAACAAAUAUAUAUUUUUUAUUUUGUAAAAGAUGCGAGUGAAUAGAAAUUUGACAAUAACAAUAGAUUUGUUAGUAAUAAGAACACCUUAUUGCAAAGAUAAACUACAAAUAAAAUCUUUGGUUAUAGGAACAAUGUUUGCAUCUUACAAAAUUUUAAUAUUUGAAAUAUUUUUAAAAAAUAAAAUUUGGACAAAUAAUAGCCUCAUUGUCAUUAGUAUUUAUUUCACAUCAACAUCAUUCACUACACAAGACACUUUGUGUCAUCUUCCAAAUAUCCAAAAGUACUUGAUGGAUUCAAAUGAAGAAUAAAACAUAUAAGCAAAUGAUCAAAGAUGUUCAAAAGAAUGAGGACCUUAAAUAUAGAGUAAGAACAAAUAUAGAUAGUAUUAUUUUUUUUUAAGAUGGAUUGGAACAACACAUUUGCAAAACAACUUUGUUUCUAUUAUGAAUCUUUUUGCUUCAAUAAGUAAAAUUUUAAAUUUUUUUUGUUUUAAAAGAUUUUUAGUUGCAUCAUUAUUUAUACAUAUUACAAAAAAAUUCUAUUAAUGUUGUCUAUGCAUGUCUACUAAGUACAUUAUCUAGAUUUCUAUUAGAUUUAUAAUACAUUAUAAACAAACAUGCAACGAUUGCAAAUCCAAUUUGGAAGGUGGAUUUGGAAGGUAGAUUUGCAAUGGUUGAACAUUAUGGCUUCUAAAUUGAGCUUAAUAUAAUUUUUUUAAAAUACUUUUGGUGAUGAAGUGUAGUAAGCAUCAAAAAAUUUCUUAAUUUCUUUAAGGCUUCUAUAUUAUUACAUUCUUUCAAAAUGAUUGCAUCGUGAAUAUACAUAAUUACAUGGAUAAGAAGUGCUAAGUAGAAAAUAAAUGUAGAUUAAUUUGAUAUUAUCUUAUGGUGAAGCUUCUUAAAAGCUUCAUAGAUGCAUAUUUGAUUUUUUACAUAUUUAUAGUUGAUUGGUAGGUUAAAAAAACUUAGCCAAUAAGUUAGCCAUAUGAUACAUAUGUAGGUAGCUUGUGGUCCAAAGUAACAAUAUGGCAUGCAUAUAAAAAACUUGCCUUACAAAUUAAGACAUGUAUUUUACAAAUUUGACAUAUGUUGGAGGUCCUAUAAAAUAUUGCUACAUAAAUCCUAUAGAAUGUUGUUACAUAGAUUCUAUAAAAUAUUGCCACAUCAACCAUGGAGGUAGUAUUUUGAUGCCUAUCGAAGAUGUCAUCAACAAAGUUUAAAGUUGAUACCACAAAGUUAUUUAAUUGAAAGAAAUAAGUAGAUUAAGCUCACAAUUAAAUUGAAGAAGCCUUCCUAUUUGAAGUAUAAAAGAAAAAAUGAUAAGUAUGUUAGAGAAGUUUGAUAGAAUAAGAUAAAUGUUUUGAAGAUUUCUAUAAUAAAUAAAGUUAUAUUUAAGAUUUCAUCUUUUUCAAUAUUUUCAUUGCUUUAUUCAAACUGAAUUGAUAGAUACACUUCUCUCUAAGAAUGAUUUCUUGAUUUGCAUCUUUGAUAGAAAAAGAUUUACACCUUAUCUAUGAUCUGAAUUCAUUCUUAGAAGUAUUUAUGACAAAUUUUAGAAAAAAAGAUCAAGAAACAAUAAUAGAUACCAAAUUUGGCCUUAUAAUGGAUUUUAAAAAGAUUCAAACUAUCAUGGAUUGGAAGAUCCCAAAAAUAGUUAGAGACGUGUAAUAUCUUUUAAAAUUUGCUAAUUAUUAUCAGAUCUUCAUCAAGAACUUUUUUCAAGUUGCGGCUCUUAUUACACAUCUAAUAUGUAAAGACAAACUUAAGCAAAUCAAUGAAGUUGAAGUAUCAUUUAAAGCUUUGAAGCCAAAAUUUAUUUUUGUAUAAAUCUUAUAUUGCAUUGAUUUUUUAAAGGCAUUCUUUAUAAAAAUAUAUGUACCAAAUUUUGCUAUAAAUGAGAUGUUAUAAUAAAUAGAAGCAAACAAUAAGUUCUAUCCAAGAGCUUUCUAUUCUAAGAAAUUUUUAGCAACCAAAAUUAACUAAAAGAUCUACAAUUAAGAGCUUCUUGUAAUUAUUGUUUUAUUUUGAGAAUAGCAUCAUUUUUUAGAAGAUACUUUUAAUUGGAUCAUUGUACAUAUGGAUCUUAAGAACCUUAAGUAUUUCAUGUUGGCACAUGUUUUGAAUUAUUACUAAGCUCCUUAAAACCUAUCUUUAUCAAGAUUUGAUUUCAAGGUCACUUAUUGAUCUAAAAAAUAAUAAGAUUUAUCAAAUAGACUUUCUAGAUGUUUUUAUUUUAUACUUGAAGAAAGAAAUGUAACUUUUGAUUAAAAAAAAAUAAUUUGCUUAAAGCGAUAAUAUUUUCAUCUUCAAGUAAUGAAAUCAAUAUUAGCUAUUGAUUUAAUUUUUUUCAAGCAAGUUCAAUGGAGUAUGUCUUUUGAUCUUUUUGUUUUAUGAUAUUAAAAAUAAUUCUUUUAAGUCUUAUGAAACUUGAAGAUUUAAUUUUAAUAAUAAUCUAUUCUAUUUUGAGAUACAAUUAAAUAUUUUAAAAAGUGAAGCACAAUCAUGACUUUCUAAUAGCAAGAUAUUUUGGAUAUAAUAAGACUUUGGAACUAAUAUCAAGAGAUGAUCAAAGACUUUGUACAAUUAUUUUAGGUGGCUUCAAAUAUAAAAGGUGGUUAAAGAUUUUAUACAAUUGUGUGACAUUUAUUCAAUAUCAAAAUUCUUUAUCAUCAAUUUUAUGGACUUUUGCAGCUAUUAUCUAUUUUGGAACAACCAUAGUCUUUUGUUUCUAUGGAUUUUAUGACAAAUCUUUCAAUCUUGAAUUCUAAUGAUUCUAUAUUUGUGAUAAUAGAUCAUUUUACCAAGAUGGCAUAUUUUGUACUAUGUACAAAAUCUAUCACUAAUAAAGAAACAAUUAAGUUUUUUUUGAGAAUAUUUAUUACUAUCAUAGAUUGCCUAAAGCUUUUAUAUUAAAUAUAGGAACUCAAUUUGUAUUAAUAUUUUCAAAAAUCCUUUUUAAAAUUCUAAAAGUAGAUAUAAAUCUAUCUUUAGUUUUUUUUACUUCAAACUAAUAUAAAUUCAAAGCAUAUUAAAUAAGCUUUAAAAUAAUAUUUGAGGUAUAUCAUCAUAUAUCAAUAAUAUGAUUGGAUAAUUUUUUUUAUCAUUGAUAGAAUUUUCUUAUAAUAAUAUAAUAUUAUAAAUUAUGAUUUUCUAUUUGAAAAUAAAUUAGGUACCUUGUUAUAGAAAGUUAAGCUUUAAUUUAUUAGAUAAGUUCCAACAAGUGAUGUAUUCUUAUUAUAAAGGCCAAAUAAAUAUAAUAGUAUUAAAAAAUUAUUCUAUUAAUAAAAUUAUUUUAUAUUUAAGAAGCUUGAUAUGUAAGGCUUUUUAAAGCAUCUAAAAAUAUCCUUACAUUCUUUGCUAUACCAAAUCAUAACUAAAUUCUCCAUCAAUAAGCUUAAUUUCUAAUAAGCUCAAAGAAAAUCCAUAAUCCUCUCUCAUAUUUACAAGCCAUCUUUAUAUCAUAAUUUUUUUAUAGCUCCAUAUUUCUAUUUUUAAUACAUAUAUAAAGUCUUGGCUUUCAAAAACUCUGUUAUUUUAUACAAAAUGCCUAAAUUAAAGCAAAAUCCUUUCAAAAUAUUUUUCUUUUAUAAAGGAUAUUUCUCUCUAAAUUUUAGAAAUCAAUAAUUCUUUAUUAUUAUUUUUUCUUUUUUCCAAUUUCUAUAUAAUAUAGAAAUUAUCCUUAAGCUUUAUUACAAAAAAAUGAACCAUAAAUCUACUAUAGAUUAUCUAGCAUCUUAGAAACUUUAGCAGAUGCUUUAUAUCCUAAUUUACAAGCACCUGAGUAGUUUUUUCUCUAUAUCUCAAAAAUCCAAACUUUAAAUGCUACGAAAUUUGUGCAUAAAUUUUAUUAAUAUGAUAACAUACAUUCUUAAAAAUAUUUAGCUAAAAUUUUAUUAAAUUGCUUAAGAUAUAGCUCAAAAUAUAACCACUAUUAAUUUAGGUCACUUAUUGUCUUUAGAUUGUAAGUGCUGACUUCAACUUCUUAUAACUUCUGUAUCUUAGCUUAGAAUUCAUCAAGUAAUAUUUAGAAAAGUGUAGCAAAAAAAGUGCACUUUACAAACCUAGUUGCCAAUUCUUCAUUGUUUUUUGUACACAUGUAUUAUAUCUAAAAGAAUGAUAGUAGAUAUAAAACCAAUUCUUUAACUUUGAGCAUAUAUAUCUCUUUCAUAAAAACUCCAAAUCAUCCAAAUUUUAUACCAAAAUCAUAAUUAAAAAUCUCAAUUCUUUGAUCUUAGCCUUCCAAGUUCAAAUGAUCUCAAAAGAGUAAUCCUAAUUCCUAAUAAGGCCUUGAACAACCCCCUUAAAGUCCAUUGGACAUGCUUUUUGGCCAAUAGCAAUAGAAAUUUUUAUCAUCCAUUUCUAUUCAUCCAUAUGGAUAUUUUAAUUACUCUUUUUGCUAUCAAAAUUCUUUUUUAAUUCUUUUUCUUAUAAGAUUUAUAUAAUAUAUGUUCUAAACAUCAAAUAAAAGAAAUAAAAUAAGACUUCAAGAAUCACCAAUGUCUUCUAAAAGUAGUCAUAAAUAUAUAAAAACUAUUAUCAAUAUAAAAUCAACUUCAAUAAUAGCCUUUUAAAACUAAUUAUUUUAAAGUAGUAAUCUAAUCAUAUUUUGUGACUAACUAAAAUUUAAUAACGCUGCUCUUAUUAUAUUGUAUAAUAAAUUAUAUAUAUAUAUAUAUAUAUAUAUAUAUAUAUAUAUAUAUAUAUAUAUAUAUAGUAUUUUCACAUAGUAACCAAACCACAACAUGACAACAAUACAUUUUUUUAUGUAAUAAAUAUCUUUUUUUAAUAAUUAUGGUUAUUAUCUAUAAUUUAAUGCUUUUGACUUCUCAAAAGUUGAUAAUCCUAUGAUAAAAGAUUUAGUUAAAUAUUUAUUGGAGCUACAUAUAAUAAUAAAAGCACAACUCAAAGAAGCUUAAGAAUGAUAAAAGAUUAAUGGAGAUGCUUGUUGUAAGGAAUAAUAUCAAUUUUGCACUGAAAACAAAGUAUGGUUAUUUUAUUGUAAUAUUAAGACAAGCUGCCUUUGUGAUAAGUUAGAUUAUCAUAAGUUUAAACUAUUUCUUAUUUGUGAAUAAAUCAAUCUUGUUGCUUAUUGAUUAUAUCUAUUUGAAUUAAUGAUAAUUCAUCUUGUAUUCUACAUAUCUUUUUUUGAAUCAUAUAAUAUAAUGAAUAUUUCUAAAAAAAAAACCACUUCUUUCUAUAAAAGUAGACUAUAAUAAAGAAUGCAAGAUCAAAGAAAUCAUAGAUUCAAGGUUGUAUUAAAAUAGAUUAAAAUAUAUUAUUCAUUGAUAUAGAUAUGAUAUUACUGAAUGCACAUAAAAGCCUGGUAAGAAUUUUUGAAAUGUAGCAAAGAAAGGUGAUACUUUUUUAUCAAUGACAUCUAUUAAAAUCAAGAUGAAGAAUAACAAAUAUUUAUAAUAAAAGAAAUAUUUUUUUAGAUAAGCUUGUAUUCUAUUUUUUUAUCUUUAUUUGUAAUUUUUGUAUAUUUGUGGCACUAAAGAGAUGGAAAACCAACAUUCAUCAGAUUUAACUCUAAAACUUUUGUUUAUUGACUUACUAGAAGAGAAAUUACAAUUGUCACAACCUUCAAGAUAACAUAAUCAAGAUGAAGUCUUUCAAGAAUAAUAUGUUUUUUUUUUUUUUUUUUUUUUUUUUUUUUAAGUUAAUGGAAAGAUUAAACACAUUUGAUAUGACAAACUUGGAAGAGAUUUGUUAUGUUCGGUGGUUUUUUAGAAGUCAAAAUGAGUCAUAAUAUUUAUAUAAAUAUUUUGUUUGGACAAAGUUACAAAGGCUUCAACAAUAACUAAAUAAUGGAAUAGUCUUUUCUCCUUGAGAUGAAACAUUAUCAAUAGUUGAGAAAACUUAUCAACGACUUUAAAAGAAUGAUAGAUCAAAUAAUGUGACAAAUAUAUUUUAUUGUAUCUUGAAUUUCUUCAAUAUAUAAUGACCUCUUAUUGCGGAAUAUGUUCUUAGAAGGUGGAAUAAUGUCAUGGACCUAUAUUACCUAGAUAUAUUAUAUUUAUCUAGAUAAGAAGUACUAGAUGGAAGAAAAAUAUAGAUAUACUUGAUAUUAUAUAGUAGCAAAGCUUUAUAGAUGCAUAUUUGACUUUAUACAUGUUUAUAGUUGAUUGAUAAGAUAGAAACUUAACUAAAAAAUUAACUAUGUAUUAUAUAUGUAAGUAGCUUGUGAUAGAAGGUAAUUAUAUUAGAUGUCUUAUAAGUUAAGACAUAUAUCUUGUAAAUUGGACACAUGUUUGAAGUCUGAAAAAGAUAUAAACUUCAAAGAAUUAAAAUAUCAAUAUAUUCUUGUAUCACUCAAAAAGAUUAGAAAAUCACUCAAAGAUGAUAAAGAAUUAAAUUAGAAUGGUUAUUACUAAAGACAAGAAGACCAAAAUAUCUUGAAAUAAGAUUAAAGAUUAAAAAAAAAUUGACAAGAGUAAAGCAAGCUUCAUUCUUGCCUCUAUAUAUAUUCUUAAUUAAGAGUUAUGUAGCAAUAUCCUAUAAGACUUCCAAUAUGUGUUGACUUUGCAAGACACAUAUCUUAACUUAUAAGGUAAGUUUCUUAUAUGUAUAUUACAUAGUUAACUUAUUUUGUAAGUUAUUAACAUGUGAUUAAUUUAUUGACAAAUUUUUUUACCUAUCAAUCAACUAAAAAUACAUGUAAAAUCAAAGAAAAGGUUGUUGAGCUCCUAAAAAGCUUUAUUUAAAAAUAUUAUGAAAUUAAUUUAUUUUUAUUUAUUUCUAAUUAAUUAUAUAGGUAACUAUUGAAAUAAAUAUAUAUAUAUCCAUGAUAUUAUCUCUCCUUCUAGAGAUAAGUUCUAUGAAGAGUGAUAAUCACAUAUUAAAAAAAUCUAAGAUGUGAAAAAUUAUGUUUGUCACAUACUCUGAUCUUUUGUUCUCUUUGAAGAUAGUUGAAAGGUCCUUUCAACCAUUGAUAGUAUCUUAUACCAUAGCAAAAAGUCCACCCUAUUAUUUGAUCAUUAUUAAGGCCUCUGUAAAUCUUUUUUAAUAAAAUAUUUGAAAUAUUGUCAAUAGUUGAUCUUAUUUCUAAUGAAAUCACCAAAUAUUAGAAGUUUCUUCUAAGGUUGUGAUACCAAAUACGUUGUAACUUACCUUAUAUAUAAGAAAAGAUAUGUCAUUCAUGAUGAUCUUCAUCUUGAUUAUGUCAUCUUAAAGGUUGUGACAUUAUAAUAUCUUGUCUAAUAAGUCAGCAAACAAUGGCUCUUAUAUUGAAUCUACUUGUUAGGAACCAUAUAAUAAAUAAGGAUUCAAGACUAAAAAAUGGAGUUAGCUCAACAUUAAAACAAUACAAGGCAAGAAGAUCUUGACUAGACCACAAGAAGUGAAUUGUUGAGACUGAGAAUCCCCUUAGCCUUGAGUCUUAUAUAUACUAGAUCUUAGGAAGUUUCUUAAGAAGUUUCUAUAAGGCUUGGAAACAAAAUAAGCCUAAGAUCCUUCUUUGGCAACUUCCUAAAUCAUCUGAAGCCUCUUAAAACCGUCUAGGAUUUUUUAUGAGCUUCUAGAACUUUCUUAAAUCUACUAGAAUCUUUUGAAAUCUUCUUAGAACCUAUUAGAUCUUUUGGAACCUUCUAAAUUUUUUUUAGGAUCUACUUGAACCUUUUAAAAUCUUCUAAAAUCUCCUAGAACCUUCUUAAAUCUUCUUCAGUUGUAUGUCCGUGACAUCACCUCUACUUCUAGCUUUGAGGUCUUUGAGAAGCAAUGUUGUUACAAAUCAAUAUAUGUGUAAGAAGUUAAAGAUCUAUCGCAUCAUGUCUCCUAUAUAUUUCAUUUAUUUUUCACAAGGCAAAUGGUUCAUAGGCCCCUGUAGCUAUUCAUAGUGCCUCAAGCCUUCUACUUAUGACCAAGCAUGAACUUCAAUAUCUUUAUUAUGGAAUUAUCAUACAAACUCUCUUUGUAGAUAUCUUUCAUAAGAAGAUUCUAUCUCAAACAUAAUUACCAGCAACCUAUUACUAGAUAUCCUUCGACGUCUUUGUGAUUUAGGCAGCUCUUCAUCUUAAGGUCAUGUCCGCAAGCUACUUGGUUGAGAUAAUAUGACCAACAAGGCAUCUAUCUGUUGACUAUCUAUAUUAUAAAGUAGACAAGACCAAAAGAAUAUAAACAAGCUAUGGUCGUAAACUCGAACUAUUGACUUAUACUAUUCUAAACAUUUGAAAAAACUUCCUCUUCAGAGGUUGUCUCCUCCCUUUCUUUAUGACGCCAAGAAUUAAGAAAUUUCAUACUGAAGCUAUUUUACUAAGCUACAACUCUUUAUUUUGUCGCUUUUGGUCUAGAUAGAUGUCAGUGAUGGAACUUUUGAACCUUCAUUUGUUCAUUUACAAGGUUGCUAGCUGAUUUCAAUGUGCGAUAGUUGAUAUCAUAUCCACAACAAUGGACCAGAUAUUCAAGCCUUCCAUGUCUUAUCCUUGAAUCUAAUACCUCUUCUACCUCAAAUUCAACAUGAUUAUUGAUUUCAACCAUAGAAAGUAGUAGUUAUCUUUGAUAUAGUAUAUUCAAUUCUUUAUAUCUUUUCAAAAGUAAAACAUAAAAAAUUGGGUAAAUAUUUAUGGAUUAAGAUAAUUCUAAGCAAUAAGUUACAUUAUUAAUUUGUUUCUAAAUUACAAAUGGUUUCAACCUUUGAUAGUUCAACUUAUCAUAUGCUUUGUUGGUUUUUAUAUUACGCCAAAGAAGCCAUACUUUGCCACUAACUUAGAAUAGAGGAUGUUCUUUCCUCAAUUCAUUUGCUAAUAGCUUAUAAAGUUGUUGAAUCCUUUCUAGGUGAGUCUUUAUAGUUGCUUGAAGUUUGGCCAUCUUUGUAGGAAACUCCUAUGCUCUUGGAUUUGUCGACUUUGAAGGCUCUAUCAUAUCCAACAUUGGAUGAUGACCAUAGUUUGAAUAGAAUGGCGUUUGUUACAUAGAUGCAUGGAUUGUAUUAUUAUAUGCCAACUCUGUCAAUGAUAAGUAGAAAGUCCAAUCAACUUAUUGAUAGUUGAUGGUGCACCUCAAAUAUUGCUCAAAAAUUUGCUUGACCCGCUCUAUUUGGCCAUCAGUUUGAGGGUAGAAGGUAGAGAAAAGAUUGAUGUCAACCUUAAGAAUCUUAAAGAGCACCUUCCAAAACCUUGAUACAAAUUGUGGCCCAUGAUUUGGCAUAAUGUUGUCUUGCAACCCGUAGUAACAAUAGACAUUGUGAAUAAAGAGUCUUAUUAUCUCUUCACAAGUAAUUAACUGCUUGCAAGGUAUUAAUGUGCAAUCUUGGUCAAUCAAUCAAUAACUAUGAAGAUAGUAUCAAAUGAGCUUGAUGGUUGAAGAUCUAUAAUGAAAUCCAUGGAGAUAGAUGACCAUAAUUGUCUUCAAAUAGAAAGAGGUUGAAAAAGUCUAUAUGAUCGAUGUUGAGAGUUCUUUGACCUUGAACAAGUAUCACAUGAUAGUACAAAUUUUUUAACGUCCUUUUAUAUUUUUGGUCACCAAAAGUCUCUAGAUAGAAGUUUCAAGGUCUUGUUGAAUCCAAAAUAUCCAAUUUUAGGAAAAUCAUGGCAUGUUUGAAGAACAUGCAAGUAAGUUGGCCCUUUAGGAAUAAACAAACAUUCUUCAAAGAACAAGAAGUUGUCUUCACACUUGAAUUUAGAAGACUCUUCAGGAAGGUUAUAAGCAAGAUGCUUGACAUUAAGAACAAAGGGGUCUAUAUUUAAGGCUUUACAAACUUGAUCAAGAAAUGAAAAAUCCACGUGCAUUGAUACAUUGGUUGCUUGAAGAUGAAAUUAUUCAAGUUUUAACAAGGUUACCCAUUAUUGAUCAUAUGUUGCCUUGUCUUCUUUUGAUUUAAGGUAAGAACAUCUUGAUAAUACAUUUGAUAAUUCUUCUUGGCUCCCAAGUCGAUACGUGAUGCAAAAGUCAAAUCAUGAUAAAGAUAUACUCUAAUGUGCUUGGCAAUAAUUUAAAACUUAAGCUGGUAUGAAGUAUUCAAGAUUCUUGUGAUCUAUAUAUAUAAUCACUUGAUGAGAGGCACCUUCAAAAAAAUGGCGCUAUUCUUGAAAAGAAUCUACAAUAGCAAGUAUCUCUUUAUUGUGGAUUUUGUAAUUAAUUUCUAUCGCUAAGAAUUUUCUAGAAUAGAAUGCAAUUAAAUGAAGUUUGCCAUCUUCUCCAUAUUAUGAAAAGAUUGCUCUCAAUGCAAAGUGUGAGGCAUCAAUCUCUAUAAAAUAGGGCUUGUUGAAAUCUGGAUGUAUCAAAAUCGGAUGUGUUGUGAAAGCAUCUUUUAAGCUUCAAAAAGCUUUCUUUACUUGGAGACUGAAGUCCAACUUGUCCUUGCAUAUCAAGAACAUUAGUGGAGUAGCAAUCUUAGAAUAAUUCCUAAUAAAAAUCUUGUAGAAGUUUGUAAAUUCAAGAAAGUAUUGGACAUCACGUACAGUUUUUGGCUUUACAUAUAAAGCAAACAUGUUUUUUGUGGUCUUUCAAAUUCUUAGAAAAGAUUAGAAUAUCAUCCAAAUACAUCACAACAAAGUUGUCAAGAUGUUCAUAAAAUAUAUCAUUCAUUAAGUAUUGAAAUAUGGUUGGUGCAUUAGUAAGUCUAAAAGGCAUGACAUUGUAUUCAAAAUGUCCAUACCUAGUACAAAAUAUUAUCUUCUAUUCAUCUCCCUCCUUAAUGCAUACCAAGUUAUAUGCGCCUUGUAGAUCAAUCUUUGUAAAGAUCUUUACUUGGCUAAAUUGAUCAAGAAAUUUAGAUAUUAAUAGCAAUGGAUAUCAAUUUUUUAUCAUGAUUUUAUUAAGACCACAAUAAUCAACACACAUCCAUAAAGAUCCAUCUUUCUUUUUUACAAAUAAUAUUGGAGCACCAACUAGCAACUUGGAAUGACAAAUAAAAUUCUUAGCUGGACUUUUCUCUAUGUACUCUUUUAAAGUUGCAAGUUCAUUAUGAAAUAAUUGUAAAUGGAUCCAAACGGUGAUUAAGCACCUUCUUGAAGGUCAAUCACACAAUUAUAAGGGCGAUACUUCAGUAGGAUGUCCGCAUUUUUCUUUUCAAAUAUAUGUACAAAAUCCUUAUAUGCCUUUGGAAUUGUUGUAGCAAUUACAGGUUUCGAUUGUCGAUUUGUAAAGAAAACAAAUGUAGUACCAUGUUUGGCUAUUUUCACAAAUGCUCUAGCUCUAAUAAAUAAAUAUUCUUUAAGUUUUGGCUGGUUAGAUGUUAGAAGCUUUUUCAUAGAUUUAAGGGUUCUAUGAUCUACUAGAAAAAAUUUUAAAUUUUGGAAUAUUCAAUCUAUCCAUGGAUUGUAUUUUUUAAGCCAUGAAAGUCCUAAAAUGAUUAGACUUGAUGGUGAUCUAAUGAUGUUGAAUACUACUUAACUACUAUAUUUAUCAAAGAUUAUUUCUAAUGGAAGUGUUUCAUGAGUGACGUCUCUAAAGGAUAAAGGUCGACCAUCUAUUACUUCUACUUGUAGAACUUUGGAUUUUUUGACGAUACAGAGUAGAUGUGAUCUAAAAAAUUCUUUGUCAAUAAAACAUGUAGAAGCUCUUGAAUCAAAUAAUGCAUGAUAUUCUAGUUUUGUGACUCCUAACGAUAUAAGUGUAGUAAAAUAAUGGGAAGGACCCGCAGAGAGUACAAGAUCUUUUUUGAUUUUUGAUAGUGAAGAAUCCAACCACACAAUGUUGUACUGUAAUUGCUUAUAGUAUAUAAAAAUUAAUUAGAAUAUAUAAUAUAUUCAUAAUUCUAGAUGUGUGUUAGAAAGGUUAAUAGAUUAAAUUGAAAAGAAUUGAUAUAAGUUUUUUUUUUUUUUUUUUUUUUUUUUUUUUUUUUUAAUACUUCUUUUGAUUUUGGCAUUAAAAAAAAUAUAAGACCUAAAUAUUUAGUAUGAAGCCUUGGGAGAAGGUAGAAGCCUAGAGAUGAAAAUUUAAACUAAUAGGAGACUAAUUGGGAGGGAUGAAAGCAAAGCAUGGUCAGAUGAAGGCAAGGAAUGGAAAACAUCAUUCCUAUUGAUCAAAUACCAUAUCUAAUAGGCUUUGAGGAGGCUACCUACGACCUUAAUAAGGAUUCUAGUAACUUCAAAGAGGGCAUUUGGAAAUUAAAAGAUAGAACUAUUAAAUUUAAGAUUUGGAUUAUAAUUUGUGUACAAAAAUUAAAAGAUUAGGAGUUAAAAUGAAGAAGAUAUAGCUGUUUGAAGUUAAGGUGUUAAUUUAAGAUAUAUUUUUACUCUUUUGAAGAUACGAGGAAUUGUACAAUAGCUUUUGAAGUUCAAAAAGUGCAAUUAGAACAAUGUUUUUAAGACCUAUAUCUUUUAUGAAAGAAUUGUUGCUUUUGGAAUGCAUGUGAAGGAGUUAUAGGGAGUUGAAGGCAUCACUUCCAAAUCAAAGGCAAUAAAUCAGUGAUUUUAUUUAUAGUAAUGGUUGGAGCCAUAACUUAAAUUUUUAUACAAAUUUUUAGCUCAAAAUUUUUGGAAAAUAUAAGAUUUUGUAUUAAAAAGCUAUAUAUAUAAAUUUUGUGGUAUUUGAGCUUAUAUUUUGUGAGAUAUGAAGAAAGUUGCACGUAGGUAUAUAAAAAUAAGGAUUUUAAGCGAUUGUUAGGGUUUUUAAGAGAUCUCAAGAUCAGCAACAAAUUUGUAGUUGAAAUUUAUUAUAGAAAUUAAAAAAAUAUAUUAAUAUCUCAUGUAAAAUUUGAGUUUGUUUGGAUGGUCGGAUUAAGAGAUACGAUGUGUUGAAGUUUGGGAAAAUUUCCACAUAAGAAUAUACAAGGUUUUAGAAGAUUUUAUCAUAUUUUGAAUGUUGUUGGUUACUUGAAAUUUAUAUAUUUGGUGUAAUUGCUCAAAAAGAGAAAAUUUACAUAUAAACUUAGGACUUCCUUUAUUUUGAAGCUUGACUAAACAAUUAGUAAUAGCCAAAAGCCUAGUAUUUUUUUGAGGUAAAUUCUCUCUACUCCAACAAUGGUUCUUAUUGUGGCUAAACACCCUUAUUUUUUUGCAACGCUUUUGAAGAUGUGGUAGCAAUCCUCAUUUGAUAUGUAUAUUAGCAUUUCUUUAAACAAUUAUUAACCUUAUAGUGAGGUUUUUUGCAAUAUAAGCAUAGGCCAAGUUCUCUUUGAUAUUUUUUUUUCUUGCUCAAAAAGACGUUUGAAGCGAACUGCAUCAAUUUGCAUAUCUUCUACUUCUAAAUAUUCAUUAGAAUUGGAUGGUGAAGAAGCUAUAGAAUAAUUGGUGUAUACAUGUCGCGUAAUUGAAGAAGAUUUAUCUUGUUGUCAUUGAAAUAAAUGGUUAUUGUACUUCACAGCUUGACUAAUGGCUUCAUUGAGUGUUAGAGGAUCUGACAUAAACAAUAAGAAGUCCUUGAUAUCAUCGCUUAAUUUCUAAUAAAAUUGGCUCAUCAAUGCAUCUUCUGUCUAAUUUAUAUCACAUGUUAAUUAUUAGAAAUUUGAGGCAUAUGGUGAUGCAAAAUAUGUUCCAUGUCGAAGGCUUCAAAUUUUGGUUAUUAAAGAACAAAUCUUAUCAUGUUUACCAAAUGCUUCCGUAAAUGCAACAAAAAAUGCUUCAAAAUUAUCAAAUAUAAGAGAAUUCUUUUCAAAUAAUGAAACAAAUUAAGAUAAAGCUUGACCUGAUAGCAAGGUUCCAACUAAACCCUUACGAGAUGCUUCAGUGGAAUAUUAUUGAAGUUGAAGGAAAGUCAUUAGUCAUACUUGAUUUGCAAAGCCACAAAAUUUUGAGCGGAUGCCAUCAAACUUUUCCAGAAGACUGAUCCUUGAUUCUUUUGGUAUUAUUAUUGUCAAAUCAUUGCCUUAAAUAGAUGCUUAUUGAUAUUUUAUCAUUCUUGAGUUUCUUUUAAUUACACUUUUAUUAUUGUAUGUAACUCUGAUAAACAAUUUUCUAAAUAUUUUGCUAAAAGAUUAUCAACUUUGAAAACAUCAAAAAUAUCAAAUUGUGGAUAAUAACCUUAAUUGGCAAAGAAAGGUGUUUAUUAAAUAGAAGAAUGUAUCAAAUUAUUGUAUGAAAACUUUGCUAAUGGUAAAAGAUUUGUUCAAUCAUCUUGAUGAUAAUUGAUGGUACACCUCAAAUAUUACUUCAAAACUUGAUUCAUUUGUUGUUGUAUGUCAUGAUUUUUUAUGUAAGUUUAUAUUGGAUACUUAGCUGUAGAGAGUUUAGCUUUAACUUAUUGGCCAAGUUCUAAUAAAUUAUUUAUUUUUAUUAUAUAAGAGAAAAUAAAUGUAAUAAUAUAGAAAGAUAUUCUAAUAAUAAAAAUCUUUUAUUUUUAAGAAGAUUUAUAUAGAAGGAUUUUUUAAGUAUCUAAAAAUAUCCUAAUAUCCUUUGCUAUAUCAAAUCAUAAUUAACUAUUUGUCGAUAAGUUAGAUUUUUCAUAUAUUCAAAGAAAAUCCAUAAUCUUUUAAUAAAAAUCUAUCUUUAUAUCAUAAUUUUUUCAUAGAUCUAUAUCUAUAUCUUUAACAUAAGUAUAAAUUCUGGGCUCUCAAAAACUCCCUUACUUUGUAUAAAAUAUCCAAAUUGUAGCAAAAUCUUUUUAAAAUAUUUUUCUCUCACAAAAUUAUUUGUCUCCAAACUUUAGAAUAUCAUAUCUCUUGAUCCAACUAUUAAAUUUAUCUCAAAUUUCUACAUAAUUUUACAUUUAUCCUAAAGCUUUAAUAAAAAAAAAAUUAAUUGUAAAUCUACUAUACAACAUUUGGUACCUUAGAAAUCCUAUCAAGUGCUCUAAAUCCUAAUUUAUAAGCAUCCAAUUACUUCUUUCUUCAUAUUUCAAAAAUCCAAAAUCCAAAUACUAUAAAAUUUGAUAUAUAUCUUUAUAAUAUAGUAGUACAUAUUUAAAAAAAAAUAGGUGAAGAUUCUUUAAAAUAUCUAAAAUAUGGCUAAAAUCAAAUUCUUUAUGAAAUUGGUUCACUAAGAAACCUCAAUUUGAAAGCACUAUCUUCAACUAGACAUUAUUCCUCUAAAUCAACUUUAAACCUUUUGUAUUUUAUAUGUAAAAUAUAGUCUUUGAAUCAACUUUCUAAUUACUAAAUUUGAUCUUCAAAAGCAUUUCAUAUGCAUGUGCUAUGUCUCAAAGAGUAACAAUAGGUACAAAAUCAAUAUAUUAACUUUAAGUGCCUAUAUCUUCUUUAUAAAAACUCCAAAUCAUAUAUAAUGAUUAACAAAACUAUACCCAAAAUCUUAAACUUGACGACUUCAAUAUUUGAUGUUUAAAUAAUCUUAAAAGAAUAAUCUUAUUUCCUAAUAAGGCCUCAGGCAACCUCCUUGAAGUCCAUUGGCCAUGACUUUUGGCUAAAAAGAAUGGAGAGUUUCAUCAUCUAUCUUGAUUUAUUUAUAUGAUUGGCUUUACCAUUCUUUUUUAUACAAAAAUCCUUUUUUAAUUCUUUUUUUAAUAAUUUUAAUAUAAUGUGUGUCCUAAACACCAAAUAAAAAAAAUAAAAUAAGAUUUCAAGAAUCAUCAAUGUCUAAUAAAGGUGGCUCUAAAUAUAUAAAAACUAUUAUCAAUAUAAAAUCAACCUUAAUAAUGGUCUUUAUAAACUAAUUAAAUAAAAAUAGAAAUCUAAUCAUAUUUUAUAAAUAAUUAAAAUCUAAUAACAUGGUUUUUAUUAUAUUAUAUAAUAAAUUAUAUAUUAUAUAUAUAUAUAUAUAUAUAUAUAUAUAUAUAUAUUAUUUUUACAUAGUAGCCAAAUCACAAUACAACACCAUUAUAUUUGCCUAUUAGUUUUAACAUAAAAAGUCAAAGAGAGCUUUAUGUACCUUUAAAAUUUCAAAAAUAAUUCUUCAAAAUCUUAAUACAAAUUAAGUCCUUCUAUCCAAUAUAAUAUCUUUGGACAAUCUAUGAUAGCGAUAAAUGUUAUUAAGAAAAAAUUUAGGUAUUUCUUUACUUGUGAUAGAUUUUGUAUAUGAUAUAAAAUAUGCUAUUUUGAUAAAAUAAUCUACUAUCACAAAUAUAGAAUCAUAUAAACUUGAGACCAAAAGAUCUAAUAUAAAAUCAAUAGAAAGAGAAGACGAUAAUUUUUUUGGAAUAAGUAAUAGCGAGAAAAGUCCUUAAGGUCAAUGACGAGGAGUUUUUGAUCUUGAACAAAUAUUACAUGAUUAUACAAAGUCUCUAACUGCCUUCUACAUUUGAAACCACCAAAAAUGUUUCAAUAUUAGUUCUAUAGUCUUAUUGUAUCCAAAUUGUCCAGCUAUUAGAAAGUUAUGAUAAGCUUGAAAAACACGUAAUUGUACUUUGACUUCUAGAAUGUAUAAUAGUCCUUCAAAAUUGAAUAAAUUAUUCUUGAAUUCAAAUUUGGAAAUAUUAUGAGAUUUAAAAGAAUUAUUUUUAAUAUCAUAAAUAAGAAGAUUAGAGGACAUACUUAAUUUAAUAUGCUUUACAAAGAUUGAAUCAACAUUCAAUGUUGAUUUUAUUAUUGAAAGUUGAAAAUAUUCUAACUUUAAGAGGAUUAUUUUAGUUAAUCAAAAGCUAAUAUUUUUUCUUUUGGUAUAAGAUAAAAACAUCGAGAAAGGGCAUUUAAUAAAUCUUGUUGUUUUUUGAGUUGAUAAGUAAUCUUAAAAUCAAAUCAUGAUAAAAACAUGCUCUCAUGAGCUUGGUGAAAAUUCAAAACAUGUAUUAAUAUGAAGUACUCAAGAUUCUUAUGAACUAUAUAUAUAAUGACUAGACUAGAAGAGCCUUCUAGAUAAUGAUGCUAUUCUUGAAAUGAAUCCACAAUUAUAAGAAUCUCUUUAUCAUGGAUUUCAUAAUUAAUCUUUACCGCUGAAAAUUCUUAGAACAAAAAGUUACCAAGUGGAGCUUGUCAUUUGCUCCUAUUUGUGACAAAAUAGCAACUAUAGCAAAGUCUAAUGCAUUUAUUUCUAUAAAGAAUACCUUCAAAAAGUUGAUGCAAAAAUAAAUUUUAUCUUUAAGGCUUCAAAAGAUGCUUCAACUUCUUUGUUCCACUCAAGUUUAUUUUUACAUGUCAAGUUUGUAAGAAAGGUCGCAACUUGAAAAAAAUUCUUGAUGAAGAUUCUAUAGUAAUUGUCAAAUUUCAAAAAAUAUUGCAUAUCUUUGACUAUUUUUCAAAUCUUUUAAUCUACAAUAGUUUGAACAUUCUUAGAAUUCAUCAUAAGACCCUAGUUUGAAAUGAUGUAUCUUAAGUCAACUUGAAUAGUAUUGAAUAUAUACUUUUUCAUCUUUGCAUAUAAUCCUGUACCUCUUAAAUUUUUUAACACGUGAUGAAUAUAAUUUUUUUUUUUUUUUUUUUUUUAUAGAAUAAAUUAAAAUAUCAUUUGAAUAAUAGAUAAUAAAAUCAUCAAAAAACUCACAAAAAUAUCAUUCCUUAUAUGUAGAAAAGCAACUGGUAUAUUUGUGAAUCCAAAAAGCAUGACAUUAUAUUCAAAAUGCCCAUAGUUUUUUAUUUUUAUUUUUAUUUUUCUCCUUCUUUAAAAUAUAUCAGAUUAUAUGUUUUUGUAGAUCUAUUUUUGUAUAGAUCUUUGCUUCAUUAAAUUAAUCAAGAAAUCUUGAAAUCAAGGAUAGAUAGUACAUAUGCUUGAUAGUGAUCUUGUUAAGUACUUAAUAGUCUACACAUCCCUAGAGAUCUGUCAUUUUUCUUUAUAAAUAAGAUAGGAGUCCUAGUUAGAGAUUUAAAAUGGCAUAUGAAGUUCUUAGCCAAAUUCUCAUUAAUAUAUUCUUUGAGUAUAGCCAACUUUUUUUGUGAUAGGUUAUUAAUUAGUCUAAAUAGUGGUUGAGUUGUUUUUUGAAGAUUGAUGGAACUAUCAUAAAGACAACAAUUUAAAAGAAUAUUUCAUUUUUUUUUCAAAGACAUCUUGAUUAACUUAAUAUUGCAUUAGAAUGCCACUUAAAAUCUUUUUUCUAUCAAAAAUAGAUCUGAUAUAUAUAACAAAAGUUGAUUUCUUUUGUAGCAUGCAUGAAAGUUCUCUCACCUAUCAAUAAUGGUUUAGAUAUAUUGGUCUUACGGAUUUUUAUUUGCCUAGCAAAAUAUUAGGCUAAAAUAUGGAAAAAAUAAUAUAGGAAGUUUAAAACAUAUAAUAUCAAUUUAUAUUGAUUUCAGUCUUGAUGAAUAAAUUUUUGAAAACUUGAGAGCUACCAUUAUUACUUAAUUUGUUUUUCUUUAGCCAAAUCUUUGUUUUUAAUGCCUUUUAAAUAAUAAAUUAUUAUAUAUAAUGGUUUAAGUAAUGAAUUAUUUAAAAGAUUUUGCUUUUGAUAUUGUUAAUAAUAAAUCUUUGAAAUUGUCCUUCAAACCAUAUCAAAAUUGAUUGAUAAGGGCUUUGCCAUUGUAGUCUGUGUUACCUGUGAGGUUUUAGAAUUCAAUAGCAUAUAUGGAGGCUGACCAUGAUUCUUAUUAUAAAGAUAAGAGAUUGAUCUUUGCUAUUAUUUUUCAAUCAUUUUUUCUAUAAGUCAAAUUAGAAGAAGAUAAUCCACAACUUCUAAUGUCAAAUAAAAAUUUCUAUGAAAAAGUAUAAUUUUCUUUCUUUAAAAUAAAAAUCAAUAUUAAAAAAUUAAAUAGUUUCUUUAAAGGUGGAUAAUUUUUAAUCUUAAAAAUAAAAUAAUAGAAGUAUAAUAAUCCACUAAUUUCUAAAAUAAGAUAAGAAUAAUGAAUUAGAAUUCUUAUCAAAUUAUUAAGGAUAUGAACAUCAAAGAAUUAAAAUAUCUAUAUACUCUUAUAUCACUCAAAAAGACUAAAAAAUCACUCAAAGAUAAUAUAUUAUUAAAUUAGAAUGUCUUGCCAAAAAUAAGAAGAUUAAAAAGACUUAAAAUAAAACUAAGGACUAAAAAGAUAUUGACAGGAGUAAAAGAGACUUCAUUCUUGCCUCCACAUAUAUUCUUGAAUAAGAUCUAUAUAGUGAUAUCCUAUAAGAUCUCCAAAAUAUAUUGACUUUGCAAGACACAUAUCUUAACUUAUAAGGCAAGUUUUUUAUAUGUGCACCACAUUGUUAACUUGUUCUAUAAGCUACCAAUAUGUGAUUAACUUGUUGAUUAAGUUUCUAACCUUUCUAUUAAUUAUAAAUACUUUAUUGCUUUGACUUUAUAUUGCUUUAUAAAGUCAAAGUAAUAUUGUUGUAAUAUAGUAUAAAUAAUAUAUAAAAAGAGUGAAGAAAUUAUUAUACUAUAGAAGAUUUUACUUCAAAUAUUGUAACAAAUCAUCUUAGAAAAUAGAUAAUAGUCUAAAAGAAAGUAAAACUAAAGUCGUAAAUGCUACCUUUUUGUAAAGUAGGCUUCUACUUACUUUUUAAGGCCAUAAAUAAGACAAAAUAAGGUAGAUUAGAAAAUAAAAAAUAUGAGCAUAUAUGAGAGGAAGUUAGAAGUUAAUUUUAAUAAAAAUUAAUUUAAAAAAUAAAAUUUGAUACCUAGAGAGGACCAAUUAUUAAUUAGGAUUGAAAUCAUAUCCCAAGACACAAAACCAAGUACCUAUAGCAAUUCUAGAGUUUUUUGGCAAAUCAAAGAACAAAAUUUGAGAAAAAAUUCUAUAAGGUUUUUUUAGGCAUUGAUUUUGAAAGAUUUGAAUGUAUAAUAACUCUGUAAGAGCUUUGCAAAUUCAUAGUUGUUUUGAAUGAUUCUAAAGUUUAUGAAUAAAAAAAAUAUUAUAUUUUAGAAAAUUUUAUAAAUUUAGUAGUAGAUUUAUAAUUCAAAUUUUGAGAACUUAUAUGAAUAAUUGUUUAAAAUAUAUGCUAUAAGUUUGAUCUUAAUGUAAUGGUUGAAUUGAAGAUAAUUGAAUUUUUAGUAGGUUGAGGUCUCAAAAAUUGGACUUUGAAGGGCAAAUAAGAUUUCUAAAAUCUUUAAUAAUAUACUAGUUAAAUUGGAGUGAAAUUUAUGUGUGAUAGUAUUAGACUUGAUUUACUAUAUGUAUGUGAAAUUUGAGAAUAAUUGAAUGGUUUAAAAAGAAGAUAUUGGCAUUGGAAGUUCAACAUUCAAAUUGGAGCAGGAGGCUGACCAAUACUUGAGCGGAUUUUAGGAUUUUUCUUCUCUUUGAUAAGUGCGAUUAUCUUCAAAAUUCAUGAGUUUGUUGCUAAUUUAGUUUUUGAGAAGUUUGUAAAAUUUUAAAGAAGAUCAAUGAUUUGAAUUGAUAGAUAUUGAGGUUCUAAAUUGUAUUAGGAUUAGGUUGAGUUGGUUUGAUUUUGGAUCAGUGUUGAGUUAAGAAUUAGAAUUUGGUUAAGAUUUGGUUAGGAUUUAGGAUUUGAAAUUUAAGAUUUGCUUAGGAUUUAAGAUUUAAGGUUUACUUAGGCUUUAGGAUUUGGCUUAGGAUUUGAUUAAAUUCCAUUAGGAUUUCGACAAGGAUUAGAUUGGAACUUGAUUGAGAUUUAUUUAAGAUAUAUUUGUAAUUAUUUUAAUAUUCUUUUAGAAUUUCUAAGGAAUUAUUUAAAGAUUUAUUAUGGAUUUCUUUUGAACUUUUUAAAGAUUUUCUAUCUUUUCUUUUGUAAUUUCUUUAAUUUUUUUUUUAAUUUAAUUAAAGCUUGGUUAGUAUUAUUACACUUUAAUUAAAAUUUAUUUAGUAUUCUAUUAGAAUUAGGAUUUUAUUGUGGAAAUUUUCAUUCUACUUUCUCUAACUAGGGGCUUGGUGCAUUCUUAAGCAAGACUUUAUAUAAUAUAAUAACAUCUAUGAAGCUUUGAAGCAGCUACUUUAAAAAAUAUUAUGAAAUAAAUCUACUUUUACUUAAUUUUACUUAAUCAUGUAAGAAAAUAUUAACCAUAAUCCAAUAUAUUAUCAUCUUUGAAUAUUUCAAUUAUAAUCCAAUAUAUUGUCAUCUUUGAAUAUUUUUUUUAAUCUUUUGAAUAACAUAAGAAUAUAUUGAGUUUUUUUUUCUUUAAAUUCACGUCUCUAACAAUAAGGUACAAAAUUCAUUUUAUAUUACUUUGUCAUGUCUUUAGAUACUCUAAAGGCUUUGUAAUUUAAAGUACUACAAAGACUUGCAAAUGUAGUUGAUAUAAGAAAGUAUUGAUCUGAUUGUAGCAUGAUGCAUUGGUAUUCUUUAAAGAAAUUUAUAGAGAACAAUAGUACAUGUAUAUUAUACUUUGAUUAUUACAAAAAAAAUUGGACAAUAAUAGAAUUGGUACAAAAAUAAUAAGAUGAUUUGAGGCAACAUAAAAUUACAAUAUAUAACUAUACAACAUAAAUGUUAACAAUGAGCAAAGACUUGCAUUCUUUUAAGUAUAUUUAACAAGUCUACUAACUUCAUUAAUUCCAUAAAAAGAACGUUCCAUGCAAAAAAUUCAUAAUAACUUCAAAAAAAAGCAUUUGAGACUAAUAUAAGUUUUCAUUUUAUAUGUAAAAAAAGAUCAAUUGAAAAUACACUAAUUAAAAAGAAUCAUAUAUUACAAUUUUAAGAAUCCAAAUACUUAGAUCAAGUAAAUAAACAAACGAUAGAUGUAUUGGUUGAAAGAAAUGGAAGACAAAUUGGAAUCAAAUAUGCCCCUAUUAGAAGAUAUUUUAAAUGAGGUAGAUGAGUAUGACUUUGAGAUGUUGAAUGUUGGAAGAAUAAAGUUUGUCACUAUAGUCAACACCUUUGCUUUAAAAAACAUAUACUUAGUGUUUAUUGUGAUGGUAUUUUUGGGCCAUGAAAAAAAUAAUGUUUUAAGAAAAGAAGAUGCAUAUGUAUUUAUUGAUUGAGAUGAAAUACAUUUAAGGCACUUUCUUAACUAGCUUCAUGAUAGCAUCGUCUUAUCUAAAUUAGAGAUAUCAAAAUAUUAUGAGAUUCUUCAAAAAAUAAAGUAUUAUAUUUUGACAAAUUUAAUAGACAUUGUGUUAUUGACAUCAAACAAAAAAUAUGAAACAUUUGUGUAAAGUCAAGAGCAAUCAAGAAAGAAAAGAUUUCUUUAUUAAUUAUAUCUAAGAUUGUCUAAAUGACAAAGCCUAAGUUGAAUUGCUUGGAUGUAAAUAAAUUGUAGCAAUAUGAGCUUAGUAUGUAUAUGUGAAAAAAGUAAAUCCUUUAGGACUUAUCAAAUGAACUUAUCAAAUCUAGAUUUAAGAGAGAAAUAUUUUCAUAAUGUUCAAUUGAUCAACAUUAACUUUGAAAAUAUGUACCUCAUGAAUGCAAGUUUAAAAAAUUAUAGAGUUAAUAGAUUUAGUUUCAAAAAUAAUAUAUUUUAAUAUUGUGACUUCAUAAGUGUUACGAUUAUACAUAGUUAUUUCAAUAAUUAUCUAUAUAAUUAUAUAGAAAUAGAUAAAAACAAAUUAAUUUCAUAAUAUCUUUUAGAAAAGCUUGUUAGAAGCUUCAUAGAUGCGAUUUUGACUUUAAACAUGUUUGAAGUUGAUUAAUAUGUUAAAAACGUAGUCAACAAGUUAACUUCAUAUUAUUAGGUUAAAAAAUAAGUUAAUUAUGUGGUGCAUAUAUAAAAAAAUUGCCUUGCAAGUUAAGAUACAUGUCUUACAAAGUCAACAUGUAUUGGAGGUCCUAUAGAAUAUUAUCAUAUAGCUUCUACUAAGAUAGUAUAUAUAGAAGCAAGAGUGAAGCCUUCUUCAUUCUUAUCAAUGCCUUUUUAGCCCUUAAUCUUAUUUCAAGACUUUCUAGUCUUCUUGUCUUUGGUAAUAGCCAUUUUAGUUUAAUACUAUAUCACCUUUGAGUGAUUUUUUACUCUUUUCAAGUGAUUUUUUAGAAUGUAUCAAUAAUUUUGUUAUUUGAGGUUAAUAUCCCUAAUAAUUUGAUAAAAAUAUUAAUUUAUUAUUCUUUUUUUGUUUUAGAAAUGAAUAGAUUACUCCACUUCUAUUUUUAUUUUAAAGAUUAUAGAUUAUCUACCUUGAAAUAAAUUAUAUAAUUUUAUAAUAUUAAUUUUAUUUUAAAGAGAAAAUUAUUUCUUUUUGUAGAAAUUUUUAUUUGACAUUAGAAGUUGUAAAUUAUCCUCUUCUAAUUUCACUUGUGAAUUAAUCAAGUUAUUUAAAAUGGAAGAAAAAAUCAUAGAUGCUAUACUUGGUAGAAGCUAGAAUAGAUUUAUAAUUAUUGUAGAUCUUUACAAACUUGUCAAUACUUUUAGAAUAGAAAUUUUAUGCAUCAACACUGCUAAAUACUAUAACACUAAUCAUAUGUAUAUAGAAGAAGUUCAAAAUCUAUGUCAAUAAAUUGUGCAGUUAAAAGAAACAAAUAGAUCGACUUCACAACCAAAUCUAGGAAGUUUUGCUUCUACAAGUACAAUAGAGACAUUGAUUAGUAUGCUCAAUAAGUUUGAUAGAAUGAGAUCAAAAUUUUGAGGAUUUUUGUAAUAAGGCAAGCCUUAUCUAAAGUUGCAUUUAUUCCAAUACUUUAAAGGAUUUAUAUAAGUUUGAUACAUAAAUAUACUUUUAUCUAAAAUUAACAUCUUUUUAUUUGUACCAUUAAUAGAAAAAAAAUUCAUAACUCUUUUAUAAUUUAAAUUUAUUUUUAAAAGUAUUUAUGGCUAUAUUUAAGAAAAAAUAAAUAAAAAAGAGUAGCAAAGACUAAGCUCUUAUCUUUAUGGCAAUGAUCAUUUUCAGCUAUUAUAUAUACUAUUGAAUUCCAAAACCUUGCUUAUAACAUGGACAAAAAUGAUAAAGUCUUUAUCAAUCAAUUUUAAUAUGGGUUGAAGGAUAAUAUCAAAGAUUUAUUAUUGAUAAUACUAAAAAUAAAUUUUUUUGAAUGAUUUAUUGCUCAAGUCAUUGCAUGUAAUGAUCAAUUAUUUAAAAGGUGUCAAGAAUAAAAAUUUGGCUAGAAAAGAACAACCUAAGUAAUGAUAGCAGUUUCUAUGUUUUCACAAACUUAUUUAUCAAACCAAAACUAAUGCAAAUUAUUACAAUAUAUUUUAAAUCUCUUAUAGAAUAAGAAAAGACUUUAUGUUGUUAAGAGGGUUUGUGCUUAUAUUAUAGAGAAGGUAAGCACAUUGGUCAACAUUGUCUAAAGAAGCAACUCAAUUAUAAAAUGAGGAGUACAAUUACCACACAAGAUAAUGUAUCAAAAAAUAAGUUUUCCUAGCUAUAAUUGGGACCGUGAAAUUGAAAUCAUGUGCAAAACCAAAUAAAGGUCCUAUUCUCUUCUCAAAUUCUUAACCUUAUUUUAUAAUAGAUGUAUAUUUAGGGCCUAAAAAUCACAAAGUUUUUAUAUUAUUAAAUUCAAGAGCUUGAGCCUAUUUUAUAGGUAAAGACUUUGUCAAAAAAUAAGAAAUAUCUUUAGUCAAGAAAACUAAACCCAUGCCUGCAAAAAUCAUAGAUGGUCAUUUUUUUCUCUCAUGGAGAUGUUACUUUUGAGAUUAUUUCUUUAGAUGUAGCAAUUAAAGAUCAUAAUAGUAUAGUGAUAUUUAAUAUAAUAAUUUUUCUCUAUAAUCUAAUUAUUUUAGGAUUAUUGUGAUUAAAAAAAUAUAAUCUUCAAAUAGAUUGGAUUUCUUGUAUAUAUAAUAGCUGACAAAGCACUAUCUAUAAAGCUUCUUAGAAGCUUUUUUGGAAGAUAUUAUGAAAUCAACCUACUUUUAUUUAUUCAUAUCUAAUCAUGUAGGUAUUUAUUAGAAUAAAUAUGUAUAUCCAUGACAUUACUCCUAUUUUUAGAGAGGAAUUCCAUAAAGGGCGGUCUUCAUAUGUUGAAAAAAUUCAAAAUGUGGUAAAUUAUAUUUGCCACAUACUCUAAUCUUUGUUUUCUUUGAAGAUGGUUGAUUGGUCCUCUUAGCUAUUGAUAGAGUCCUAUACCAAGGUAAAAAGAUCACCUUAUUAUUUGAUUGUUGUUGAGAUCUUUGUAACUUCUUUCAAAUAAAACAUUUAGAAUAUUGUCAGGAGUUGUUCCUACCUCUAAUAAAAUCACCAAAUAUCAAGAGUCUCUUCUAAGGUUGUGAUACCAAAUACGUUUUUGGAAUAGAAAGUGUUUGCCUCAAAAAAGCGAUGGACAUCUAGUUGCCACUAAAUGCUCAAUCAAGUCUAAAAUGUUACAGUUUCAAAUUUAUAUAUAUAAUAUAUUUUUUUUUAGGACAAUUACAUAAAAACAUAAGCCUAAGUACAAAAAUAAUAUCAAAAAAUAUGAUAAAACAUCUUCAAAUCUUUUAUAUCUUCAUGAGAAAUUUUUCUCAAAUUUCAACAAUUCAUAUCUCAAGAUCUAAUAGUCAAAACAAACUAAAAUUUUACAUAAAGUACUGAUAUACUUUCAACAACUAUCAAAACAAACUUCAACUAAAAAGUCAUUACAGAUCUUUAAAUAUUACCAAAAUCCUAAUAGUAGCUUCAAAUCUUUGUUUACAUACACUUGUAUGCACUUUUCUUCAUAUCUCACAAACUAAAUAUUUAAAUACUAUGAAACUUUGAUAUAAAGCUUUUUAAUCUAAUAACACACACUUAUAAAAAUUUUGAGCCAAAAAUUCAUCUAAAAACUCAAGAUAUGACUCCAACCAUUACUAAUAAUAAAAUAACUUACUUAUUGUCUUUGAAUUACAUGUAUUGUCUUCAAUACCUUAUAACUCCUCAUUUAGAUUUAGAAUUCAUCAAAUAAUAUAUAAAAUUAUAACUAAAAAAGUGCUUUUUUCAAUUCCAAUUGCUGAUCCUUUAUUGCUCUCUGUAAGCAUAUGUUAUGCCCCAAAGAGUGACAAUAUAUACAAAAUUGACACUUUAACUUUGAGUGCCUAUAACUCCUUCAUAAAAACUCUAAAUCAUAUAAAAUUUGCAUCCAAAAUAUAUCCAAAAAUCUAAGCUUUCUGACCUUUGUCUUCAAAGCUUGGAUGACUUCGAAAAAAAAACCCUAAUCCCUAAUAAGACCUUGGACAGCCUCCUUGAAGCCCAUUGGGUAUGACAUUCAUCCAAUUAGGAUGAAGAUCUUUACUCCUUACCUUCAUCCAACUAUACCUUGCUUUCAUCCUUUCCAAUAAGCCUUUUAAUAGUUUAAACUUUCAUCUUUAGAUUCCAAUCUUCUCUUAAGCUUUAUAAUAAAUAUCUAAAUCCUACAUAAUAUAAACACUAUAAUUAAAAUAGAUAAACCUCCAAAUAAUUUUUUUUAUAUCAACUCUCUUUAAAUUUACUUAUUAACCACUAUAAUCCACAUCAAGAUUUAUAAACAUAAUAUAUAUUUUAAUUAAUCUUUAUAUACUAUAAGCACCUACAAUACAACAAUGUUUUUUAGGAUUUUAAAGGUGGACCUGAAAUUAUUUUUGACAUUCUAUUCUCUAAUUGAUGGAUAAAUAAAGUAUAUAAAUCAAGUUUUGAAAUAGUAUUUGAAAUAUAUCAUCAACUAUCAAUAAAAUGAUUAGAAAAUUCUUUUGUCAUUAGCAAAGUUUUCUUAUAAUAAUACAAUAUAUUAUUCUAUGCAACAAACAUAUUUCUUUGCUAAUUAUGAUUAUCAUCUAUGAUUUGAUACUUUUGACUUUUUAAAAUUUGAUAUUUUUGUGGCAAAAGAUUUAAAAAAUUAUUUAUUUGAGUUAUAUAUAAUAAUAAAGGUAUAACUAAAAGAAGUUUUAAAAUAAUAAAAAAUAGCAUAAAUAUUUAUUAUAAGAAAUAAACUCAUUUUAAUAUUGGUGAUAAGAUAUGAUUAUUUUGUCAUAAUAUUAAAAUUAUUUACUCUUGUGACAAGUUGGAUUAUUAUAGAUUUGUAUUUUUAUUUUUAUUUUUCAACAAGUCAAUCUAAUUUCUUAUUAAUUACAUCUACUAGAGUGUAUAAAAAUCAAUUCCUUAUUUUACAUAUCGCUUUUAAAAAGAUAUAAAAAAUGAAUAUCUUAAAAAAUAGACAAAUACCACCAUAUCUUAUAGAAGUGGAUAAUAAUCACAAAUUUAAGGUAGAAGAAGUUUUAAACUCAAGGUAGUGCCAACUAAGGUUGAAAUAUCUUAUUUAUUAAUAUAGAUACAAUAUUAAUGAAUACACAUGGAAGCUAGCAAAAUAUUUUAUAAAUACAGCAAAGAAGGUCAAAACUUUUUAUUAAUGAUAUUUAUCAAGAUUAAGAUGAAAGAUAGCAAAACUUUGCUAUAAAAAAAUAUAAUUUAAAAAAAAUUACAUCUACCUUCUAUUUUUAUUUAUAAUUUUUGUGUAACUAUGAAAUCAAGUAGAUAAAAAACCAACAACUAGUAGAUUCAAUUCAAGAGCCAUUAUUUGUUGACUUCUUGAACAAGACAUUGAAAUUAUAUUAGUGUUUAAGACAACAUAAUAGAGGUGAAGAACUUUAAGAAUGACAUGUUCUUUUUUGAAUAGAUGGAAAAAUAUAAUGUGUUCGAUAUCACGAUUUGUGAAGAGAAUUUCAAUGUUUGGUGAUUUUAUUAAAAGUAAAAAUGACUUUGAUAGUAUCACAAAUGUUUUAUUUGAAGGAAGUUAUAAAGGUCUCAACAAUAAUCAAAUAAGGAGGUGGUCUUUCUACCUUAAAAUGAGAUAUUAUUGAUAGCUAAAAGAACUUAUUAACUACCUUCAAAAAGAAUAAAGAUCAAAAUAUAUAUCAAAUAAAAUUUUUCACGUCUUAGACUUCCUCAACUUGUGAUUAUUGCUUCUUGUGGAAUUUGUAUCUAAAAAAAGAAAUAAUAUCACAAACAUAUAUUUAUCAUAAUUAUUAUUUAAAUAAUAUGAAUAAAUAGAAAUAAAUAAAAAUAGAUUAAUUUCAUAUUAUCUUUUAGAAUAGCUUCUUAGAAGCUUCAUAGAUAUUGUUUUGAUUUUAUAUAUGUUUAUAGUUGAUUGAUAGAUUAGAAACUUGGUCAAUAAAUUAACCACAUGAUAUACAUAUUAGCAGCUUGCAGAAUAAGGUAACUAUGUGGCAUGCAUAUACAAAACUUAUCUUGUAAAUUAAGAUGCAUAUUAUAUAAAGUAAAUAUGUUUUGGCGGCCUUAUAAUACUCGCCACGUAGCUCCUAAGUAGAUAGUAUAUACUGAAGCAAGAGUAAACUUUCUUUACUCUUCUCAAUUCUUUUUUUGCUUUUAGUCUAGUUUCAAGAGUCUCUAGUUUUCUUCUUUUUUUGUCAUAGUUAUUCCAAUUUCUUUUUAAUAUGCAUACUUCCUUAUUUCUAUUUUUUCAUAUUUCUUUGAGAAAGUCUCACUUAUUUAUUUAUUUUUAUCAAGUUCUUAUCUUUGUUAAUAACAUGAAUAGGACAUCAAUUUUGUUGGCUUGUUGUUACUACUUGCCAUGUGCUAAGGAAAAAAACUUGAUAAAAGCAAAUAAAUAAAUAAAAAUCUCUCAAAGCAAUAAAAAUAGAGAAGUAUAUAUAUUAAAAGAAAAACUGAAAUAUCUAUUGCCAAAAGACAAAAAAACUAGAGAAUCUUGAAUUCAGACUAGAAAUAAAAAAAAAAAAAAAAAAAAAAAAAUUGAUAAAAAUAAAGAAGACUUUAGUCUUGCCUCUAUAUUUACUAUCUACCUAAGAUCUAUAUGGCAAUGUUCUAUAGGACCUCCAAAAACAUGUUGACUUUGCAUGAUAUAUAUUUUGACUUACAAGACAAGUUUUCUAUAUAUAGGCGCCACAUAAUUAGCUGGUUUUGUAAGCUACCAAUACAUGUGGCACAUAGAUAGCUUAUUGACCAAGUUUUUAACCUAUCAAUCAACUACAAAUAUAUAUAAAGUCAAAACAGCAUCUAGUAAGCUUCUAAGAAGCUUUUUAAAAAGGUAUUAUAAAAUUAAUAUACUUUUACUUAAUUCUACUUAUUUAUAUUAGCUAGAUAAUAACUAUAGUAGAUAUAUAUAUUCAUGACAUUACUCCCUCUUCUAUAGACAAGUUCUACAAAGAAUAAUGAUCAUAUGUUGAAGAAGUCUAAGAUGAGGCAAAUUGUAUUUGCAUCAUACUCUAAUCUUUGUUUUCUUUGAAGGUAGUUAAUAGGUCCUCUCAGCCAUUGAUAAUGUUCUAUUUUAGGGCGGAAAGACUACUCUAUGAUUUGAUCAUUGUUGAAACCUUCGUAACUUCCUUCAAACAAAAUAUUAGUAAUACCAUCAAAAAUCGUACCUACCUCCAAUAAAAUCACCAAAUAUGGAGAAUCUUUUUUCAAAUCAUGAUAUCAAAUAUAUUGUAUCCUACCAUUUAUUUAAGGAAUAAUAUUUCAUUCUUCAAGGUAUUCAUUUCUAUUAUAUCAUCUUGAAGGCUAUGAUAAUCAUAAUAUCUUAUCUGAUAAGUUAACAAAUCAUGUCUCUUGAAUUGAAUCCACUAGCUAUUGGUUCUCCAUCUCUUGAAUGCCACAAUUAUAUAAAAACUAUAAAAAAAAAGAUAAAAAGUAGAAUGAAAUCUUUUCUAAAUUGUAUUUCUUUUAUAGCAAAGAUUUAUUAUUCAUCAUCUUGAUUUUGAUAGAUGUCAUUGAUAAAAAAAACUUCCACCAUCUUUGCUGCACUCACAAGAUUUUUUACUGGCUCUCAUGUGCAUUUACUAGUAUCAUAUUCCUGCCAAUGGACAAGAUAUUUCAACUUGUUUCGAUGCCACCUUAGUCUAAAACUUUUUUUCACUUCAAAUUCUUCAUUAUUUUCUACUUCUAUACAAAGAGGGAGAACUUGUCUUUUUUUUUGGUAUGUUCACAGACUUAUAUAGUUUAAGAAGAGAAAUGUCAAAUAUAGGAUAGAUUUUUAUUGGCUCUAGUUAAUGUAAUCGAUAAACAACUGGUUGAUUUGUCUAUAAAUAAGAAAAGGUCUAAGCUUACAGUAGUUCAACUUGUCACAAGGACAAGUAAUCUUAAUAUUAUGACAAAAUAAUCAUACUUUGUAACCUACAUUGAAUUGUAGUUGUUCUUUUUGAUAGGCAUCCAAGUUGAUAUUUUUUCAUUGUUAAGCUUCUUUUAAUUGUACCUUCAUUGUUGCAUGUAGCUUUGACAAAUGAUUUGCAAAAUCUUCUACCGAAAGAUUAUUAAUUUUUGAAAAGUCAAAAGUAUCAAGUUAUAGAUGAUAAUUAUAAUUAGAAAAAAAAUAUUUUUUUUACAUAGAAGAAAGUAUUGUAAUAAUAUAAGCAAAUUUUGUCAAUGGCAAGAGGAAUUUUUAAUUGUCUUGUUAAUAAUUAAUAGUACACUUUCAGUAUUGCUCCAAAACUUAGUUUACGCAAUUUGUCUAUACGUUAGUUUAAGGAUAAAAGGCCAAAAAAAGCUUUAUGUCUACUUUUAGAAUCUAAAAAAAUAUUUUUUAAAAACUUAAUACAAAUUGAAUCUUCCUAUUUGAUAUAAUAUCUUUCGAUAAUCGAAGAUAUUUAUAGAUAUUAUCAAAGAAAAGUUUGGUAAUUUUUUUACAUAUAAUAGAUCUUAGACAAGGUAUAAAAUAAACUAUUUUGAUAAAAUAAUCUACUAUUAUAAAUAUGAAAACAUACAAAAUUGAGACUAGAACAUCGAUAAUAAGAUCCAUAGAAACAGAAAACCAUGAUUAAUUUGGAAUAGGUAAUGGCUAAAAAAGUCCAUAAAAUCAAUGACAAGGAUUUUUUGAUCUUAAACAAAUGUCACAUGAUUGAAUGAAGUCUUUUACAUCCUUUCAUAUUUGCAACCACCAAAAAUCUUUCAUUAUUAAUUCCAAAGUCUUUUUUAAUCCAAAAUAUCUUAUUGGAAUAUAUAGGUAUCUUUCAAAAUAAAGUAGGUUAUUCUUGAACUUGAACUUCAAAGUUUCACAAGACUUAAAAGAAAUAUUCUUGAUAUCAUAAACAAGAAGAUCAAAGGACAUACUUGAUUGAAUUUGAUUAAAAAAAAUUGAAUCCAUAGUCAAUGUUGAUUUCACUACUCAAAGAUGAAGUUGUUCUAGCUUCAAUAAAAUUAUCUUUUUUUGAUUAAAAGCUACAUUUUUUUUUACUUUAAGUAUAAGAUAAGAAUGAUUAGAAAUGACAAUAAACAAACCUUUUUGUUUUCUUAGUCGAUAAGUAAUAUUGAACUUGAAUCUUGACAAAGACAUGUUGCAACAAGCUUGGCAAUGAUUCAAAUCAAAUUAUUAUGAUGUAAUAUGACUAAUAAGUGAAAGGAAUGAAGAAUCUAUUAUUUUAUAAAAGAUCUUACUUCAAAUAUUAUAACAAAUUAUCUUAGAAAAUAGAUAAUAGUCCAAAAAAAAUAGAACUAAAGAUUUUAAUGCUAUCUUUUUACAAAGUAGGUUUCUACUUAUUUUAUAAGGUGGAUUAAAAAAAUAAAAAAUAUGAGCAUAUAAAGGAAAAAAAUAGAAGUUGAUUGAAAUAAAAACUAAGUAAAAAGGGCAAAAUUUGAUACCCAAAGAGGACCAAUUAUCAACUUAGAUCAAAAUCAGAUCUUGAGGUACAAAACUAGGUACAAAUGACAAUUUAGAGGUUUUUUUGGCAAAUCAGAGAGUAGGAUUUGAGAUCGAACUUGAAAAGAUUUCUUUGAAUGUUGAUUUUAAGAGAAUUGAAUGUGUAAUGAUUUUGCAAGAGCUUUGCAAAGUCACAGUUGUUUUGGAAUGACUCUAAAAUUUGUAAAAUAAAAAGGAUAUUAUGUUUUAAAAAAUUCUAUAAGUUUGAUAGUAGAUCUGUAGUUCAAAUUUUGAUAACUUAUGAAAAUAGUUGUUUGAAGUAUAUAGUGUAAGUUUGAGCUUGAUUAAAUGGUUGAAUUGAAGGCUAUUGAAUUUCAAGUAGGUUGAGGUCAUCAAAAUUGGAUUUUGAAAGGUUGAUAAGAAUUCUAAAAUAUUCAAUAAUCUACUAAUUGGAUUGAAAUAAAAUUUUUAUUUUAAGGUAAUAAACUUAAAUAUCUAUACACAUGUAGAAUUUGAGAAUAAUUAAAUGGUUUGAUAAAUAAAUAUUGAUAUUAGAAGUUUAAUAUUUAUAUUAGAAUAGAAAGCCAACCAAUAUCCAAGCAACUUUUAGGAUUUUUUUUUUAUUUGGUAAAUGCAAUUAUCUUCAAAUUUUAUAUGCUUAUUGAUAACUCAGGUGUUGAAAGGUGUGUAAAUUUUUAAGUAAGAUCAAUUAAUCAAUUGAUAGAUAUUGAAGUUCUAAAUUAUCUAGGAUUUAAUUAAGGAUUUGAUUUAGGUCUAGAGUUUCAUUUAGAAUUUGGUUUAGAAUUUAGGAUUUGUUAAAAUUUGGUUUAGGAUUUGAUUUAAGAUUUAAGAUUUGUCUAAGAUUUGAUUUAAGAUAUCCUUUAGGAUUUAGGUUUUUUCUAGGGUUUAAUCUAAUAUUUGGUUUAGGUUUUAAGAUUUAUCUAGGAUUUGGUUUAGGAUUUGAUUUAGGACUUAGGGUUUGUCUAGGAUUUGAUUUAAGAUUUGAUUUGGAAUUUAGGAUUUGAUUUGGGAUUUAAGAUUUGAUUUAGAAUUUGAUUUAGGAUCUAAGAUUUGAUUUAGGAUUUGAUUUAAAAUCUAAGAUUUAUUUAGGAUUUGAUUUAGGAUAUGAUUUAGGCUUUAAGAUUUCAUUUAGGAUUUAGAAUUUAUCUAAGAUUUGAUUUAGAAUCUAAGAUUUAAUCUAAGAUUUGGUUUAGAUUUUAGGAUUUAGAAUUUAUUAAGGAUUUGAUAUAGGAUUUAGCAUUUGUCUAAGAUUUCAUUUAUAAUUUGGUUUAGGACUUAAGAUUUGUUUAGAAUUUGAUUGAAGUCCAUUAGGGUUUCAAAUAGGAUCAGAUUAAAACUUGAUUGAAAUUUAUUUAAGAUGUAUUUGUGAUUAUUCUAAUAUUUUUUAAAGCUUAUUAAGGAUUCUUUUAAGAUUUAUUAUGGAUUUUCUUUUAAUUUUUUAAAGAUUUCUUAUUGUUUCUUUUGUAAUUUUUUUAAGGUUUGUUUUGAAUUUAAUUAAAGCUUAUUUAAAAUUAUUAAGGACUAAUUAGAAUUUAUUUAGUAUUCUAUUAGAAUUAAGAUUUUAUUGUUGCAAUAUCCAUUCUACCUUCCACAAACAAAUACUUGGUGCACUCUUGAGCAAGACUUCACAUUGUCAAGGUAGAGAGAAUUUGCUUCAAAAAAGCACUAGAUUCCUAGUUGCCACUAAUUGUUCAAUCAAGUCUUGAGAUAAAAAAGACCAAGUUUGAAUAUAUAUACAUAUAACACUUUUGGGAGCAAUCACAUCAAAUAUAUCACCUUUGUGUAAUUUUCUUCAUAUCUCACAAAUUAAGUACUCAAAUGCCAUAAAAUUUGUAUAUAUAGCUUUUUAACAUAAUAAUCUACCUUCUUCAAAAGGUUUGAGCCAAAAAUUCAUCCAAAAACUCAAGAUAUGGUUCCAACCAUUACUAAGAACAAAAUCACUUGCUUACUACAUUUGAUUUGGAUGCGCUGACUUCAACUCUCUAUAAAUUCUUUAUCUAAAAUCCAAAUUCAUCAUAAAAUAUAUGAAAAUUGUAGCCAAUUUUUUUUUUUUUUUUUUCUCUAUUCCUAGUCACCGAUCUUUUUUUUCUCUUUGUAAACAUAUGUUAUGCCCCAAAGAGAGAUAGUAGAUAUGAAAUUGAUACCUUAACUUUGAGUGCCAAUAAUUCCUUCAUAAAAACUCCAAAUCACACAAAAUUUGCAGUCAAUCCAUAUCUUAAAAUCUAAACUUACUGAUUCUAGCCUCAAAAACUUAAAUGACUUCAAAAAAAAUCCUAAUUCCUAAUAAGGCCUCAAACAGCCUCCUUGAAGUCCAUUGGCUAUGGUCUUUGACCAAUAGGAAUAAAGAUCCCCAUUCCUUACAUUCAUCUAUUUAUGCCUUGCUUUCAUCCCUCUUAAUAAGCCACCUACUAGUUAAGAUAUUCAUCUUUAGGUUCUAUCUCCUCUCAAGGCUUCAUAUUAAACAUUUAGGUCCUAUAAUGUUUUUAAAUGUUAUAAUGAAAAUAGAUAAAACUCAAAAUAAGGUUUCUUAUAUCCUUUUUUUUAAAUUAAUCUAUUAAUCAUUCUAAUAUACACCAAGAUUUAUAAAUAUAUUAUAUAUUCUAACAAAUAUUUACAUAUUAUAAGCAAUUACAAUAUAACAACAUGUUGACAUGAAAUACUUGAGUUUCUUGUGAUCCAUAGAUAAAGUAACUACACCAGAUGUCAAGGACAAGAAUAUGAUAAAGAUAAAUAAACAAGUGAGACUUCUAUCAAAGAAAUAUGAUAAAAUAGAAAUAACUUGAUGUGUAUAUUAAGAAAGAAACUAGAAUGGCUAUUGCCAAAAGCCAAGAAAACUAGAGCCCCUUGAAACUAGACUAGAAGCAAGAAAAGAGUUGACAAGAGUGAAGAAGACUUCACUCUUGUCACUAUAUAUAUUAUCUUAUUAGGAACUACGUGGCAACAUUCUAUAGGACCUCCAAUAUAUGUUGACUUUGUAAGACACAUGCCUUGACUUACAAGGCAAGUUUUUCUAUGUGUGGGCCAUACAGUUAGCUUGUUCUUCAAGCUAACAACAUGUGUGGUACAUGGCCAAUAUGUUGACCACGUUUCUAAUCUCAAAAAGUCAAUUAAAGAUACCUAUAAAGUCAAAGUAGUAUCUAUGAAGCAUCUAAGAAGCUUCCAUAUCAAAUACUAUAUAAUUAACUUACUUUUAUCUACUUUUACUUACUUCUAUCUAUUUAUACAUGUAAUUAUUGACUUACAUGCGUAUGUCUGUGACAUUACCUUCCUUCUAGGAACAAGUUCCAUGAGGAGCGGUAAUCACAUAUUGAAGAAAUCUAUAAUGUGACGAAUUGUAUUCGCCACAUACUCUGAUCUUUGUUCUCUUUGAAGAUGAUUGAUAGGGCCUUUCAACCAUCGGUAGUGUCCCAUACUAGGGCAAAAAGACCACCUAGUUAUUUGAUCAUUGUUGAGGCCUUCAUAACUUCUUUAAAAUAAAAUAUUUGGAACACCAUCGAGAGUUGUUCCUACCUAUAGUAAAAUCACCAAACAUCGAGAUUUCCUUCCAUGGUCGUGAUACCAAACGCGUUCUAUCUCGCCAUCUAUUCAAAGAAGAACAUGUCGUUCUUAAAGAUCUUCAUCUCGAUUGUAUCGUCUUGAAGGUUGUGACAAUCAUAAUGUCUCAUUUGAUAGGUCAACAAACGAAGAUUUUUGAGUCAAAUCCGCAGGUUGUUUAUUCUCCAUCUCUUGAGCGUCACAACUACAAAGAAACUAUAAACAAGGAUUGAAAGUAGAAUGUUAUCUUGCCUAGAUCUUGUUUCUUUUAUAAAGAAGGUUUUCAUAUUGAUUUUGAUGGAUAUCAUCGAUGAAAAGCCUCCACUACCUUUGCUGUAUUUGCAAGAUUCUUUACAGGCUCCUAUGUAUAUUUACUAAUAUCAUAUCCGUGUCAAUGGACAAGAUAUUCUAAUUUAUUUUGGCACCGCCUUGAAUCUAAGAUUUCUUCCAUUUCAAAUUCUUCAUUAUUGUCCACUUCUAUAAGAGGAGGUUGAACUUGUCUUCUUCUUGAUAUGUCCACUAUCUUAUAUGGUUCAAAAAGAGAUACGUGGAAUACUAGAUGGAUUUUCAUUGACUCCGGUAGGUGUAAAUGAUAUGCAACUGGAUUGAUUUGUGUAGAAAUAGAAAAUGGUCUAAGCCUUCAAUAGUCCAACUUGUCACAAGGACGAGUAGUCUUGAUAUUGCAACAAAGUAAUCAUAUCUUAUUACCAUGUAGAAUGGUGGUUGUUCCUUUCAAUAGACAUCCGCAUUGACCUUUUGUUGUUCUUGAGCUUCUUUUAAUUGUGCCUUCAUCGUUGUAUAUAGCUCUAAUAAAUGAAUUGUCAAAUCUUUCGCAGUGGGAUUAUCAACUUUUGAAAAGUCAAAAGUAUCAAGUCGUGGAUGAUAACCAUAAUUGGCAAAGAAAGGUGUUUGUUUUGUAGAAGAAUGUAUUGUGUUAUUGUAAGCAAACUCUGCCAAUGGAAAAAGAAUUAUCCAAUCAUCUUGUUGGUAAUUGAUGGUACAUCUUAAAUACUGCUCCAAAACUUGAUUAAUAUGUUCUGUUUGUCUAUCAGUUUGAGGAUGAAAUAUCGAAGAUAGUUUUAUAUCUACUUUUAGAAUCUUCAAAAAAAAUCCGCCAAAAGCUUGAUACAAACUGAGUUCCCCUAUCUGAUAUAAUAUCCUUGGAUAAUCCAUGAUAGCGAUAGAUAUUAUCAAGAAAGAACUUAGUUGUUUCUUCACCUAUGAUAGAUUUUGUACAUGAUAUAAAAUGUACCAUCUUGGUAAAAUGAUCUAUUAUCACGAAUAUAAAAUCAUAAGAACAUGAGAUUAGAAGAUCCGUGAUGAAAUCCAUAGAAAUAGAAGACCAUGGUUGUUCUAGAAUGGGUAAUGGCUAAAAAAGUCUGUAAGAUCGAUGGUGAAGAGUUUUUGAUCUUGAGCAAACAUCAUAAGAUUGUACAAAAUCUUUAACAAUUUUUUUCACAUUUGUAGCCACCAAAAGUCCCUGGAUAUUAGUUCCAAAGUUUUAUUGUACCAUAAAUGUCAUGCUGUUGGAAAGUCAUGAUGAGCUUGAAGAACAUGUAAUCGAGCGUCACCUUCUAGAACAUAUAGGUGUCCUUCAAAAUAUAGUAGAUUCUUCUUAAAUUCAAACUUAGAAGUAUCAUGAGACUUUGAAGGAUUUUCCUUAAUAUCACGAAGAAGAGGAUCAGAAGACAUACUUAACUAAACUUGCUUAAUGAAAGUUGAAUUAAUAGUUAGUGUUGAUUUCAUUCCUAAAAGAUGAAGAUACUUUAGCUUCAAGAGAAUUAUUUGUUAUUGAUGAAAAGUAGCAUCUCCUUCCUUUGGUGCAAUGUAAGAUCGUCUAGAAAGUACAUCUGACAAACCUUAUUGUUUUUUUAGUCAAUAAGUGAUCUUGAAUUCGAAUCUUGACUAAGUCAUAUUCCAAUGGACUUGGUGACGAUUCAAAACACGUGUUGACAUAAAAUAUUCAAGAUUCUUGUGAUUUGUAUAUACUGUGACUAGGUUAGAAGUACCUUUUAGAUAAUUGCGCCAUUCUUGAAACAAAUCCACGAUUGUAAAAAGUCAUUGUCGUGGAUCUCGUAGUUGAUUUUGGCUGCUGAAAAUUUUUUAGAAUGAAAAGCUAUUGGAUGAAGUUUAUUAUCUAUUUCCAUUUGUCACAAUAUGGCAUCCAAAGUAAAGUCUGAUGUGUCUGUUUCCAUAAAAAAUGGCUUAAAAAAAUAGAUGCGAUACAAGAUUGGUGUAGAAACAAAGGCUGUCUUCAAAGUUUCAAAUGCUACUUCUGCUUCUUGAUUCCAUUGAAGUUUAUCUUUGCAAGUCAAACGUGUAAGUGGAGGUACAACUUGAGAUAAGUCUUUGAUGAAGAUCCGAUAGUAGUUGGCAAAUCCCAAAAAAUAUUGGACAUCUCUUAUCAUUUUUAGAAUCUGCCAAUCCAUAAUAGUUUGAACUUCUUUAAGAUCCAUCAUAAGUCCAUCAUUUGAAAUGAUGUAUCCUAAGAAGUCAAUUUGAGUAGUGUGAAAUACACACUUUUCUAUCUUGGCAUAGAGUCCCGCAUCUCUUAAUUUUUGUAAUACUUAGUAAACAUGAAGUUCAUAUUCUUUUGAGUUCUAAAAAUAGAUUAAGAUGUUGUCUAAGUAACAGACAACAAAAUCAUCUAAAAACUCCCGAAAGACAUCAUUCAUUAAAUAUUGGAAUGCUUCUGGUGCAUUUGUAAGUCCAAAAGGCAUGACGUUGUAUUCAAAAUGUCCAUACCUUGUUCAAAAUGCAGUCUUCCAUUCAUCUCCUUCUUUGAUGCGUACCAAAUUGUAUCCUCCCUAUAGAUCUAUUUUUGUAUAGAUCUUAGCUUCAUUCAACUGAUCAAGAAGUCCAAAUAUCAAAAGUAGCGGAUACAUGUUUUUGAUAGUGAUUUUGUUGAGUCCUUGAUAAUCAACACACAUCCACAAUGAUUCAUCUUUUUUCUUCACAAAUAUAAUUGGAGCUCCUGUUAGAGAUUUAGAAUAGCGUAUGAAGUUUUUGGCCAAAUUCUCUUCAAUAUACUCCUUGAAUUCAGCCAACUCAUUUUGAGAUAAAUUGUAGAUUUGUCCAAAUGGCGAUUGUGCUCCUUCUUGAAGGUCAAUUUAGUAGUCAUAGAAAUGAUGUUCUAGAAGAGUAUCCACAUUCUUUUUCUCAAAUAUAUCUUUAAAAUCUUGAUAUUGGCUUAAAAUGCCACUUAAAGUCUUUCUACUAGUAGAAACAAGUGUGGCAUAAAUGACGUAAGGUGAUUCUUCUUUUGCAGCAUGUAAGAAAGUACUUGUAUCUACAAAUAUAGGUUUAAUUAUACUAGACUUAUGACUUUCUACUUGAUUAACUAUACUCUUAGUUAUACUUUCAGAAAAGUCAAGACUACAAGAAGUCCAAUCUAUUUUAGGGUUAUAUUUUUCUAGCCAUGAUAAACCUAAAAUGACUCGAUUAGAAGGAGAUUUAAUGAUAUUAAAUAUUACAAAGCUACUAUGACCAUUAGUUGCUAUUUCUAUAGGAACGAUUUCAUGAAUAACAUCUCUUGAAGACAACGGACGACCAUCUAUGACUUCUAUAUGAACAUGUUUAGUUUUCUUUACUAAAAAUGUACUAUAUCUUUUGGCAAAUUUUUCAUCUAAGAAACAUGCUGAGGUUCUUGAAUCUAGCAAGGCAGAGACUUUGAGAUGUUUAGGUCCUAGAAUAACAUAUAUCAUAAAACAUGGAGAAGGUUUUGAGGAGAAGAUAGGACCUUCACUAGGCAUUGUACAAGGUUCUAGCCGCACGGUCCCUAUUGUAGUUAGACAAAUUUGUUUUCCGACAUGCUAUCUCUUUUGAUCGCCGUACUCCUCAUUUUAUGGUUGCAUCAUUUUUUUGGGUAAUAUUGAGCAGUGUGCUUAAGUUCUCCACAAUAUAAGCACAAUCUUUCUUGACAACGAUGAGUCUUUUCUUGCUCAGUAAGAGGUUUAAAACGUACUGCAUCAAUUUACAUAUCCUCUACUUCCGAAUAUAUAUGUUGAAGAGAUAUUGAUAUUGCUAUUGAAUUAUAGUAACGUUGAAGUCCACUUGUAUGGUUCUUAGAUUGAAAUUCAAAAAGGUGAUUGUCACACUUCAUACCAAAGUCAAUUGCUUGACUCAAUGUUUGAAGAUGAGGUAAAUUGAGCAUUAAUUUUUUUAUCUCAUAUUAUAAUCCAUAGAAAAAUUGGCUAAUAAGUGCAGCAUCAUCUCACUUCAUAUCAGUUGUAAGUUGUCGAAAUUGUAAAGCAUAUUACGUUACUGAUCGAUUGUCUUCUUGCAAAAUAUGGAUCUCAUUGGUUGCAACAGGAAUUGCAUCAUGUUCUCCAUACAUGGAUCAAAACUCCGCCAAAAAAGCCUUUAGAUUAUCCAAUAUUGGAUCUCGUCGUUCAAAAAAAGAUGAAAACCAUGAUAAUGGUGAAUUUGAAAGAAGCGCACCAAUGAAUCUAACUUGUGAUCCUAGAAUUGAAUAGCUUUGGGAUUGAAGUUCAAUCACAAGUUAUACUUGAUUGAUAAAUCCUCUAAACUUUGAUCUAGUGCCAUCAAACUUCUUGGGUAGGGCAAUUCUUGGUUUUCUAAUAUUUAAAGGGCGUUCUACCAUAGGAGAAGGGACAUGAUUUGGUCCAGAUGUUAAAGCAGCUUCAAUCAUUUCUAAAUCUUCACUUCCUACCAAUCUUGUUACUUCUUGCGAUGAUAAAUUGAGUUGAUGCAUCUCAAGCAUUAACUCCCUCAAUUGCUUUUGCAUUUGUGCCAUUGCACUCUUUAUUUCAGCAAGUUCUACUAUAAUAACACUUAGAAAAGAGAAGAUGUCUAAUAUCGCUUAAGACAAAUAGAAGAGAGGACUUAAGAAUAAAAAAAAUACUAAGGACAAUAUCAAUUUAGAAGAGGGUAAUUCGCAACUUCUAAUAUGCUUAUAUCUUAUAAAAAAAAAGGGUAAUCCAUUCUUAAUCAAGAUUAGACAAAGCUUUGAUAUUGUAAGUGUACUCUUGUCAAUCUGUCAAGGACAAGAACAUGAUAAAGAUAAAUAAACAAGUGAGACUUUUAUCAAAGAAAGAUGACAAAAUAGAAAUAACUUCAUAUAUAUAUGAAGAAAGAAACUGGAAUGGCUAUUGCCAAAAGCCAAGAAAACUAGAGCCCCUUGAAACUAGACCAGAAGCAAGAAAAGAGUUGACAAAAGUGAAGAAGUCUUCAUUCUUGUCUCUAUAUAUACUAUCUUAUUAGGGGCUACAUGACAAUAUUCUAUAGGACCUCCAAUAUGUGUUGACUUUGUAGGACACAUGCCUUGACUUACAAAGCAAGUUUUUCUAUGUGUGGGCCACACAGUUAGCUUGGUCUUCAAGGUAACAACAUGUGUGGCACAUAGCCAACUUGUUGACCACGUUUUUAAUCCCAAAAAGUCAAUUAAAGAUACCUAUAAAGUCAAAACAGCAUCUAUGAAGCUUCUAGGAAGCUACUAUAUCAAAUAUUAUAGAACUAACUUACUUUUAUCUACUUUUACUUACUUCUAUCUAUUUAUACAUGUAAUUAUUGGCUUACAUGCGUAUGUCUAUGAUACCAGAGGUGCCUUCUAAAUAAUGAUACUAUUCUUGAAAAGAAUCCUUGAUUGCAAGAAAUUUUUUGUCAUGGAUCUCAUAGUUAAUUUCAACUGUUGAGAAUUUUUUGGGAUGAAAAGCUACUAAAUAGAGCUUAUCAUCUUCUUCUAUUUGUGACAAAAUAGCACUUAUAGCAAAAUUUGAUGCAUCUAUUUUCAUAAAAAAAGCCUUAAAAAAUUUGAUGCAAUAUGACAUUGAUGCAGUAAUAAAUAUUGACUUCAAGGCUUCAAAAGUUACUUUAAUUUCUUUGCUCCAAUAAAAUUUACCUUGCAUGUAAGACAUGUAAGAAGAAUUGUAAUUUGAAAAAAAUUCUUAAUAAAGAUCUUAUAGUAAUUGAUAAAGCCUAAAAAGCAUUACAUAGCUCUUACUGUUCUUGAAAUCUUCUAAUCUAUAAUAUUUUUGAACUUUCUUUGGAUCCAUCAUAAGUCCUUCAUUGAAAAUGAUAUAUUCUAAUAAGACAACUUAAAUAAUGUAGAAUACUCACUUUUCUAACUCGGCAUACAAUCCCACAUCUCUAAGUCUUUAUAACACAUGACAAACAUGAACUUCAUGCUUUUUAGUAUUCUUAGAAUAGAUUAAAAUAUCAUCUAAGAAACAAACAAUAAAAUCAUCUAAAAAAUCACAAAAAACAUCAUUCAUAAGAUGGUGAAAAGUAGUUGAUGUAUUUGUGAGUCCAAAAGGCAUGACAUUAUAUUCAAAGUAUCUAUACCUUAUUUAAAAUGCAAUCUUCAAUUCAUCUCGUUCUUUAACACGGACCAAGUUAUAUACUCUUUGUAGAUCUAUUUUAUAUAGAUCUUAUCUUGAUUUAAUUGAUCAAGAAGUCUAGAUAUCAAAGAUAAAGAGAACAUUUUUUUGAUGGUAAUCUUAUUGAGUCUUCAAUAAUCUAUAUACAUUCAUAGUGAUCCAUCUUUUUUCUUCACAAAUAAGAUAGAAGUUCUUGCAAAAAAUUUCAAAAAGCGUAUGAAAUUCUUGGCCAAGUUCUUGUUAAUAUAUUUUUUAAGUUCAACAAAUUUAUUUUGUGAUAAACUAUAGAUUGGACCAAAUGGUGGCUGACUUCCUUCUUAAAGGUUGAUUGAACAAUCAUAUGGAUGAUGCUUCGAGAGAACAUCUACAUUUUUCUUCUUAAAAAUAUCUUUAAAAUCUUGAUAUUGACUUUGAAUGCCACUUAAAGUCUUUUUAUCAUUAAAAAUAGAUGUGGUAUAAAUAAUAAAAGACGAUCUUUCUUUUGUAACAUAUAAAAAAGCUUUUGUACCUACAAAUAUAUAUUUGACUACACUAGACUCAUGGCUUUCUAUAAAACUCUUAAUAAUACUUUGAAAAAAAUCAAGUUUACAAAAACUCGAAUCUAUUAGACGAUUGUACUUUUCUAGCUACAAUAAAUCUAAAAUGACUUGAUUAGAAGAAGAUCUAAUUAUAUUAAAAAUUAUGUAACUAUUAUGGCCAUUUAUUGCUUAUCUAUAGGAAAUAUUUUAUGAAUAAUACCUUCCAAAGAUAACACACAAUCAUCUAUGAUUUUUACAUGAACGGAUUUGGUUUUUUGUAUUAAUGAUAUUUUAUGGUUUUUAAGAAACUCUUCAUCUAAAAAACAAGUUGAGGCUCUUGAAUCUAUCUAGGCAAAGGCUUUGUGAUUAUUAGGUCCUAAAUAAAUAUCUAUUGUAAAAGAAGUAGAGGGUUUUGAAAAAAAGUUUUACGAAUUUAGAAUACUGACUGGAAAUCUAAACAAGAAGCUCAAGAAGAAUCAACGAGAACUAUAUUAAUCAAAUGAAUACAAGAAUAACACUAGAGGAGUGAGCUAGAACUGCAAGAGGUAUGUUGUCAAGACUGAGGAUCCCCUCAGUCUCGAUUCCUAUAUAUACUACAAGCUAGGAAGCUUCUCAAGUAGCUUCCACAAACUAGGAAGCUUCUCAAGUAGCUUCUACAAACUACAAAGCUUCUCUAGAAUCUUCUAAAAUCUUCUACAACUUCUUAGUAUAUGUCCUUGACAAAAAGAUAAGACCUUCAUUUGUACAAGAUUCCAACUACACAAUCCCCAUUAUAGCUGGAUAAAUUUAUUUUCUAAUAUUUUUUCAUCUUUGACAGUUGUACUCCUCAUUUUGUAGUUUCAUUAUUUCUUUGGACAAUGUUGAACAGUGUGCUUAGCUUCUCUACAAUAAAAACAUAGUUUUCUUAAUGAUAACAAGUAUUUUCUUAUUUAGUAAAAGGUUUAAAAUAUACAGCAUCAAUUUGUACAUCUUUUAUUUUCAAAUAUUUAGAUUUAGAGGUGGUUGGUGUUGUCAUUGAAUUAUAAUAAUCUGGAGGGUCUCUUGUGCAAUUUCUAAAUUAAAACUCAAAAAGCUAAUUGUCACCUUUCACAUAAAGUCAAUUUCUUCAUUCAAUGUUUGAUGAUCAAGUAAAUUGAACAUCAAUUUCUUUACCUCAUAUUGAAAUGUGUAGAAAAAUUAGCUAAUAAGGGUAAUAUCAUCCCACUUAACAUCAAUUACUAAUUUUUGAAAUUUUAAAGCAUAUGAUGUCACUGAUCAAUUACCUUAUUGUAAGAUAAAAAUCUUAUUGGUUGCAAUAUGAAUUGCAUCAUAUUUUUCAUACAUAGAUCAAAACUCUGCCAAAAAAACCUCCAAAUUAUCUAAUAUUGAAUCUCGUUAUUUAAGAAAAGAUGAAAACCAUAAUAAUGUCAAAUCUAAAAAAAUAUAUAUUAAUGAAUCUAAUUUGUGAUCCUAGCAUUGAAUAGCUUUAGGAUUGAAGUUCAAUCGUAAGUAGUACUUGAUUGAUAAAUCUUUAAAAUUUGGAUCUUAAGUGAUGAAACUUCUUAAAUAAAGUAACUAUAGAUUUUUUAACUUUAGAAGGAUGUUUUACUAUAGAAGAAGGGAUGUUUUACUAUUCAUUAUCAUUUUCAAUAAUAGAUCUCAUUUUUAUAAUGGCUAAGUCCACAAUCACAUUUACUUUAAAGAGAUCUUGUACUUAAAAUUCAUUGUCUUUAAAUACCAAUCACUACAAAAAAUUUAAGUUUCAACAAUCAAGCUAGAACACAAAAAAUAAGACAAGAUCAAUUCUCCUUGAAAAGAUGUUUCAGUAGUCAAGAAGGCCAAACAAAAACUUUUGAAUCAAAGUUGGACAUACUUCCAUAGUACCUCAAAUCCAUCAAUAUCAUGGUAUCAAUUGAAAAUAAAAAAAUACACUUUCAAAUUAUAAUUAUAUAAGAAUGAUAUCUUUUUAGUUUUAUUAUUAUCAAUCAUGGCAUAGAGUUUUUUAGACGAAUUUUAUCAUGACAUAUGGCAAUAUUGAAUUAGUAAAAUACAACCUCCCUUCAAAUUUUGGUUGUUUCUUUUUUGUCUCAAUUCCAUUUAAAUGAUAAUAAAAGAAGUCAUGGAAAUGGGCAUCAAUGCCACAAGUUUAGUUCAAGGUUGUCUUGAGACAAAAUAAAUAAAAUGAAAAGAAAGUAAAAAUAUCUUGUAAGGCAUGAAAAUAUAACAAUCCUUGGACAAUACAAAAUGAUUCUUGUCAAUAUAACAAUAGCUUAAAAGCUAAAUAGUUUCAAAUAGUCUGGACUUGUAUUGUAUGGUCUAUAUAUAUAUAUAUAUAUAUAUAUAUUCUUAUUAAAUAUAAUUUUAAUUUAUAAUGUUAGAUUUUAAUAAAAAUUAGAUUUGUAAGUUUGAAGAAUUGUGUUAAUGAAAUAUUCUUUUGUUAUAGUUGUUAAAUUUGCUACUAUCUAGUCACUCAAGAACAUGUAUAGUUAUUGUUUUCUAUAGAUUUCUUCAUAGAAUAUCAAUCAAAACACCACUUCAUUGUAUCAAUCACAUUCACAAGACUUUGUUGUUCUUCUAACUAGAAAAGCCUUUGGAAUAUUUGCAAACACAAUAAGGUGGUGUGAAGUGAGUUUUACAUCUUAUCCUUAUUUUGCUACAAUUAUAAAUCAAGGUUUAUGCAAUUGGAAGUAGAGGAAGGGAAAGAAGAAACAAAAGAAGUCAUGAUGAGAGCUAGGAAUAAAAAAGAACUAUAGGAGGGGAGGGAGGGGGGAUAGAGGGGGCUUAGAUGAGAGUUGAAAAUGGAAGGAGUGGGAAUUAAGAAAAUUAAGGGUAAAGAUGAAGGCCAUGAUUGUGAUAAUGGUUGUAAUAGGAUGGAUCAAUUUAGUAAAUAGGUGGAUCAUUUUAACAUUCUCUUAAAUAUAAAUAUAUAUAUAUAUGUAUAUAUAUAUAUAUAUAUAAUUUUAGAAGUUUUAGUAUACAAGUACACAUAUUCAUACAAACAUGCUCAUUUGAAACAAAUAAUGCAUUUACUGCAGCUUGCGGUAAUCAAUUGACUGCAAUCAGACAACAGAAAAUGGAUGUAAACAGACAAAUCCAUGGACAGUUUCAAGGGAACGUGGAACAAGGGAUGGGCUUGACGAGGGUUCCCAAGGGUGGAGAGUUGCGGGAACAUGUGGCGGAUUAGGGUUUGUGUCUUCAGCGGGGUGAGUGGCGCCGAAACCCUAUAAGUUGUGCCAUUGGCAGGCCCAGCGAACCACAGCGGGAGUGUGUGAUUCUCAAUCUCGGCACCGGACCGGGUGUACGUAGAGUGGCACCGGUGUUUGGCUGAUGUUGGUAUGGUUAGCCCAGGGUUGAUUGUUGAUUGUUGUGUGGGCCCAUGUUUCCUUGAGUCGGAGCUGCGGUUUUUCUUCGCCCCGGAGCGCCUACAGGGUGGGGCGUGCAUUGUGGAUGUGGAGGUUGGAUGUGUGAGAUAAUUUUUUUUAUCUCAUAUUAUAAUCCAUUAAAGAAUUGGCUGAUGAAUGCAAUAUCAUCCUACUUGAUAUCAAUUUUAAGUUGUUUAAAUUAAAAAGUAUUUAAUAUUCUAUUUUUAUAUAUAAAUUAUGGAUCUUAUUUAUUAUUACACAAACUACAUCAUUUUUUUGAUACAUAGAUCAAAAUUCUACCAAAAAAGCUUUGAAAUUGUCCAAUAUUGGAUCACAUCAUUUAAGAAUAGAUGAAAACCAUGAUAAUGCAAAAUUUAAAUACAAUGUUCUAAUAAAUCUAACAUGAUCUUGAAAUUGGAUAGCUUUAGAGUUGAAGUUCAAUUGCUAAUUGUAGUUGAUUGAUGAAUCCUUGAAACUUUGAUAUUGUACCAUCAAACUUCUUAAGUAAGGCAAUUCUUGGUUCUCUAGUACUUAAAUGAUGUUCUACCAUAGGAUAAGGGAUAUGAUUUGGUACAGAUGUUGAAGCACCUCCAAUCAUCUCUAUAUCUCUACUUUUUUCCAUUCUUAUUCUUUUUUAUAAUUAUAAAUUGAAUUGAUACAUUGCAAGUAUUAACUCCCGUAAUUGUUCUUGUAUUUAUGCCAUUGCAUUCAUCAUUUCAACAAAAUCUACCAUAAUAACACUUAAAAGAAGAAAAAAAAAAUAUCUAAUAUUGCUCAAGAUAAGUAAAAAAAAGAACUUGAGAAUAAAAAAGAUAUUAAAAAUAAUGUCAAUUUAGAAGAGGAUAAUUUGCAACUUUUAAUACACUAAUGUCCUAUGAAGAGAAAGAAAUAAUCCACUCUUAAUGAAGAAAAGUCAAAGCUUUAAUUUUAUAAAUGUACUCUUGAUAAUUUGUCAAAGACAAGAACUCAAUGAAAGCAAAUAAUCAAAUAAGACUUUUAUAAAGAAAUAUGAUAAAAUUAAACUAAAAAAGUAUGUAUAUUAAAAAGAAAUCGGAAUGGAAAUUAUUAAAAAGAAAUCAGAAUGGAAAUUAUCAAAAAAAAAAAAAAAAAAAAAAAAAAAAUUAGAGACUCUUGAAACUAGACUAAAAGCAAGAAAGGAAUUAACAAGAGUGAAGAAGGCUUUAGUAUUGCUCAUAUAUAUACUAUCUACCUAAGAGCUAUGUGAUACAUUCUGUAGGACCUCCAAAAUGUAUUUUUGCACAACAUGUAUCUUAACUUGUAAAGUAAGUUUUCUAUAUGUACACCACAUAGUUAACUUGUUAUACAAGUUACUAAUAUGCAUGGCAUGUGGUUAACUUGUUGACUAAGAUUCUAAUAUACUAAACAAUUACAAACACAUGUAAAGUCAAAAUAGCAUCUAUGAAGCUUUUAAGAAGCUAUCCUAGAAGAUAAUAUGAAAUAAAUAUAUUUUUAACUACUUCUACUUAUUCAUAUUAUUUAGGUAAUAAUUAUAAUAAAUAUAUAUAAACCUCGUCAUGACAAAUAUAGAUGUCAAGUAAGUAGUGAUUGAAGAAGUAUGUGGUAACAAUUAAGUAAUUUUUCACAAUGUUAUUAAGUAUCACAAUAGGUUGCAAAUUAGAAUGUGCCCUAAGUAAUUUUAAAUUAUCAAUACUUGUGAGAAUAGAUUUUUUUUGUUAUAAGAAAUACUCUAAAUUAGCCAUUUAAGUGAUUUAUAUGACAUACUUUAUAAAAAAGAAAAAUUUGUUUAGGUGUGAUACAUCUUCACAAUAUGUUGUCAAUGUUGAAAUCAUAUAAGGUCUUAUUGACAAACAUAUAAGAGAUAGUGGUGUAACAAAAUGACUUAAGGAAAACAAAAAAAAAGAAAUGUCAACUAGACACUAUUUGGUGUAGUGAUAGUGCAUGAUUUGGUUGCAAAAGAUAGAAACAAAAAAGAAGACUAUUAAGGCAAAGUUUGUGGCAAUCAAUUUCAAUAAAAAUAGGCUCUUGUAUGCAAGACAAGAUAUCCUUAUUGCAAUAAGAUUUCUCUGAUCAAUAUUCAACAUUGAAGGAAAAUUCUUCAAGCACAAGUAACCACCAUGCAAGUUGUCUCAAGCAUAUGGAUGUGUUCUGCAAAAACUUUAAGGCUUUGCCAUUGAUAUGGAUGGUGAAUUAUUACCCAAAAUAUAAAGCUUGAAUUCUUAUGUAGGGUGCCAUGUAGAAUGACAGAAACAUUGGCAUCCUGUUUGGAAAGUUUCCCUAGCUGUAGGGGGAUUGUUGCUACAUGGAUCCAAAUAAGAAAGAUCUCCGUAAACAUUUAAUUUAGAAAAAAAAGAAGAAGAUGUUCAGUCACCGAUCCCCGUUGGCAACGGUGACAAGCUUUCAAGCGGGUGCAGGAGAGCCUGGGGGAGAGGGCGGAGGGGUGACGUUCCCAAGGGUGGGGAGUUGCGGGAACAUGUGGCGGAUUAGGGUUUGUGUCUUCAGCGGGGUGAGUGGCGCCGAAACCCUAUAAGUUGUGCCAUCGGCAGGCCCAGCGAACCACAGCGGGAGUGUGUGAUUCUCAAUCUCGGCACCGGACCGGGUGUACGUAGAGUGGCACCGGUGUUUGGCUGGUGUUGGUAUGGUUAGCCCAGGGUUGAUUGUUGAUUGUUGUGUGGCGCCCAUGUUUCCUUGAGUCGGAGCUGCGGUUUUUCUUGGCCCCGGAGCGCCUACAGGGUGGGGCGUGCGUUGUGGAUGUGGAGGUUGGAUGUGUGGUCGGGUCAUUGUGCGCUGGUGUCUGUGUGGACAUAAUGUGUUGGAGGACCGCAAUGAUUAGAAUUGGUAAUCAGCCGGCUGGCUGAAACUUCCAUAAAAAAACAUACAGAACAUCUAAGGGUCUGAGCGGAUGUGGGUGUUGCGAAGGAUGGUUAGGAGGCAAUCUGACUAGAGUCACUCGUGUGCUGGUGAUCAAUAGCACAUAGAGCGCUGAAAGUUGCCGAGAACGAUGUCACGGGCAGCUGUUCGACCUGACCCUGAAGAAUCUACCUGCGCAGGAAGAAGCUUCCGUGAACAGCGUGAAAAUGAAGUGUGUGAGGGUGAGUGUGGGGGGAGGGAAAUUGUGUCGGUGAGGAGAUUGAUGUCAUGCACCACACUGAGUUAACUGUGCUGAGAUGACAAUAACACCAUAAGAAUCACUGAGACAUGGACUUCUGGGCAGUAGGGGGGUUUUAGGAGUUUCGUUUUGCGGGGUGUGGGAGCGGUAGGUGCAGAAGGUUGUGAGGAAGAGUUGGGCGUGGAAUGAUGGACGGGCAGGUGCGGAGGCAUGUGUGGGGCUGGAAUUAGGGUCGGAUGGAUGGGGGUUGCUGUGAUGAUACCAAAGUGUUUCGGACUAGAGUUUCUGAUCUGGGGUAGUAGCCAGCAUUGAAGAAACCACUCUUGGCUGUCUGAGCAUUGGGGUUGUCGUGUAUGAGGGUGGUUGGCAUCGCGAAGCUGCGUGUGCAAAUCUUAAGUAUGCCGACAGUGAGGGCGGCUGAUGUGUAGUUUAUAUGUGUGGCGAAAGGGUGAACUGUAUUGUGACGAGGUUGGAGGAGAGAAUCUUUUGGUCUAUUUCACUGCAGCCUAACACAUGAACGGAGGUGUGGAGGAAUAGCACCCCCAAGACAACCCUGAAACUAACAACAUGUAGCAGUAACACAAGGAUUCAUCGAAUGGUUCCAAUAAAUCUGAACCAUAACCUACAUGAGUGCAAUCUGAUUAAUCCACUGGAUUGGUAUGGCACACGUAACGAUUGACCAAUGAGAAUCUUCUACGUACUUGCUAUGCAAUGUGGGGAUUUGAUUUUACAGCUGAGCUUGUGCGUGCAUUGUUCACAUGUGGGUGCGCAGAUCCGUUAAGAUUGCCUGUUUUCAGAUGGAUUGCCUUUUUAAAUCUCGAGAGUUAAGCAUGGCCCACAUGCUAAACCUUGUUAUUUAGAAAUAAACAAUGCCCGUCAUUCAUGAAGAAAUGAGUGCAGAUUGUGGGCGGGAGACGUUCUAGGAAUUUACGUCGUUUUGUGAUGUUCUGAAUGAGUUAAUCGGAGUGUAAUGUCGGAAGAUCGAUUCAAAGAGUUGAACCCUACCGGGGUCGGCAUUGGAAUGUCUGAGACUGUGCUGAGAGGAUUAUACGGGAUUCAUUAAAUGACUUGAUUAGUAAUGGAACUUGUCACACUUAGUCAAAGCAACGUCAGCUAAGUGCAUAGUCUUAAAUGUGUGUAAAUCGGUCCUAAAAACGGUUCAUAUCUUCAUAUAUGUUAAUUGACUUCUCGGGUAGAAGAUCUAGUAUGUAUGCAUUUUCAAGAAGCAUUCUCAUCAAUCAUACUUCGCCAAAUGUACAAUUUUCAAACAUAUAUGAACUAUGAUUAAUCCAAUUAUUCUUCCAAUGAUGUUAUAAUGAAAAAUUACAGCUCUUC